rnacentral:lncRNA from 1 species
AUCAUCAUCCUUCGCAUAGUAGGGCCAAUCCACAUACCUCAUAGAAAUAAUGGAGGCUUGUUCUUCUUACGCAGCACCACAGAACCAUAGAAAUCCAUGUGAAACUCAUUCCAGCAACGUGCGUCAAUCCCCUCCAUUUUAUCCCAUCUAAAAGGAUCAUGCCUCCUUUCUUCUUUGAGGGCCAAGGACAUCUUGUAAUAGUCAUUUCCCAACCUAGGAGUGUAUCCCAUAGGACAUGUAGGAGAGCGGAGAGUUGGGCAAUUUGUUAUCCGUCCUUUGAUCUUGGUCAAAAGUGGGAGUGAGAUGCUCUGGAGGUUGAGGACAAAUGUGAUAUGCUAUGCGCCGAUUUCUCUUGACUGGCGUAGGCUGAGGAGCUGCAUAGGAUGGCAUGACAUUUGGAGCUUUGGCAUGAGAAGAUCUACGGGAUAUUUCAGCUACCUUUUCUUUCCCCUUCUUCCUCUAAGCAACCACAAAUUGUUCUUCUUCAGAUUCUUCCUCCUCACACACCUCUUCUUCUUUUUCUUCUUCUUCUUCUUCUUCUUCACUCUCAACUCUAGGAGGAUUUGGAUCAUGCCUUGCCUUAGUUCUCCUUUGCAUUGUACUAGCAUGAGUGUCCCUUUUCUCCCUUCCCAUUUGGAUAAAGCAGAGAACAUGACCAAAAGAGGGAAAGGGUUAUGAAAAAUUCAAAGAAUAAUCAAUAUAAGAGGUUUGAUAUGCGAGUUAUGAAGAUUUCGAAAAAAUGUCCGGAGUUUCCACAAGUUGCGAAGAUUUCGGAACUCUUUUUCGGAAUAUUCUGGAACUCGCAGAGUGAAACCCUAACAUCUCAUACACAAUGAAUCCGUCAUGGGAUUGAUAUGAAAUUGAAGAUCCUAGGCCUACACAUGCUAGAGAAGAGUUCUAUCCAAAGGAAAUCCUAAGGGAUGACCUACAUUGAUAGAUUGAGCGAAAUGAUCUUGGGAUACCUUUGGAGUAAAGAUGAAGAAGCCUUCAAACUUGGAUUCCAAGAACACCACGUGAAUCCCCCGCUUGAUUGGAGCCUUCCUUGAUGAUAUAGCGAGUUUUAGGUGGUGGAAUCCCCAAAUCACCCGAGGGGUGGGAGGCGAGAGGGUAGAGAGAGAGAGAGAAGCCAGCGGUAAGAGUGAAAGAGAAUGAACCAGUAACUUCUCGGGGUAAAAAGUAAAUACCCGUUAAGUAACAAAAUUUUUCGGAAAAAGUUCCGGAGAUUUCGCAACUUCCGAAAUUUCCAGAAAAAGUUCAGGAGAUUCCGCUCCCCCUGGCUAACAGCCAUUAGAUUUGAGUGGAAUUUGAUUUGUGAUAGAUUUGAGCAUGAGUAGUUCUAUCACUUGAAACUAGCCAACAAGCAAUCAAUGAGAACAGUGAUCCAAGUGGUAGAGCUAAAUUAACUCCAAAUAUUUUUUUCAAAGUAAAACCACAUUUCAAAUUUGAAAAAGAUUUUCUUUUGAAAGCAAUCUAUCCUAAGUCACUCAAACAUGCACAUGAUUUCAAACCAAGUUACGAGAAUCCAAGAUAUUUAGUUCACUCCUCAAAGCAUAAAACCUUUGCUCAUUAAGGGGCUUUGUGAAGAUAUCGGCUAGUUGCAUUUUGGUGCUCACAUGGCUAAGAGCGAUAUCUCCUUUGGCUUCAUGGUCUCUUAGGAAAUGGUGUCUUAUGUCUAUGUGCUUUGUCCUAGAGUGGUUCACGGGGUUGUUUUCUAGCUUAAUAGCACUCUCAUUGUCACACAAGAGAGGUAUCUUGCUAAACUCACAACGAAAGUCUCUCAAUGUGAGCCUCAUCCAUAGUAGUUGAGCGCAACAAGCAUUUGUUGCAACAUACUCGGCCUUGGCUAUGAAUAGGGCAACGAAAUUUUGUUUCUUGAAACUCCAAGACACCAAGGACCUACCAAGGAAUCGACAAAUCCUGAAUGUACUCUUUCUAUCUACUUUGCAGUCAGAAUAAUCCGAAUUAGAAUAGCCAAGUAGAUUGAAAGUGGAGCCUUUGGGAUACUACAAGCCAAGGUUAGGAGUGUGUACUAGAUAUCUCAAGAUUACCUUAACAUCCAAUAAAUGACAUUCCUUAGGAUUAGCUUGAAACCUUGCACACAUGCAUACACUAAGCAUAAUAUCAGGUCUAGAUGCACAACGGUAAAGCAAGGAGCCAAUAAUAGACUGAUAUACCUUUUGAUCCACACUCUUACCAUCCUCAUUUGGAUCUAGAUGUCCAUUUGAUGGCAUUGGAGUCUUGAUGGGCUUGGCAUUCUUCAUGUCAAACUUCUUGAUCAUAUCUUGAGUGUUGUCGGUAUGAAAUCUAACCGACAAGUAAAUAUACGUAGUUUGCCGCGCGUUAUAUUGGAUAUGGCCUAGCACAGAAUGACUCAGGAUUUAUACUAGUUCGGGCAACGGACCCUACUUCCAGUCGGGGGUCAGUCGGUCGAUUGUAUUCCUGAGCCCAUAUGCUCGAAGUUUGCAGUGGGGGUACAAACGAGCGAGGAGUGGAGAAGGGGUGUUCGAGGCCCUGUCAUGCUCUAGUCCGGGUGGAGGAGAGCGACGGGGGCUCAAACGUGCGCUAAGUGUUGGAGAGAGUGUUCGAGUGCAUAUGAGUGUUGGAGUGUCUUGAGAGAGCCAGAGAGUCUUCGAUCGAUCGAUCGAGAGAGAGAAAGCGUGCCCCCCUUUAUAGUUCAAGGGGACGGCCUUACACGUCAGAGAGAGGGAGAGAAAAGGUGCACGGGCGCUGCCUAAUCUUGUCAGUGCCCACGUCAUCGGGUACGGGAUGGCCAUCAUCCUCCAUCCCUAUUCAUCUCAUCCGGUUGCUCUGUCAUGAUGGGCAAGUAGCAUAGUGUUUGCCUUACCUGGCAGGGCGGCACUAUGCGUUGCGUGCACAGGGCGUGGUGAGGCAGAGUCCUCUGUACGAUGGUUGACCUGAGUAUCUUCCCUUAUCUACUGCACCUGCUCCCCGGGCCCUAUGGUGGAACUAUCCAAAUUAACUUGGCUAAAGCAUACUCAAGUCGCUUGACAUGCGAUCAUGUACUUUAAUCAAGUCAAUUCGGUCGUCCAUCGGAUUUCAUCCGAUAAACCAUGUAUCUCUGGAUUGGGAAAGCAAGACUUACACGAAGGCGAGUGGUUACAAAGAUUACAACAGUCCAUCAUAAUUAAACAAGUGCAUUAAAUUAUCACAACCUCAAGUUCAAAAUUCAAACAAAGUUUGCAGAGUUCUCAAAUAACCGAAAUAACUGAGCGGAAGCUAAAUGUCAUUGCAUGAUAUCAUGAAGAAGCCGAUCAUGACAUCAAUGAUCCCGGUCCUUGCCGUCCGAGGAGGGAUCCCACUCAACCGUCCAACCAGGAGGAAGUUGGGGAGGCGAAGUUCCACUUGCAGUGAGCUCAGAGGCAUCAUCAUCACCUGAAAAGAUGUGCCACAACAAGGCUAAGCGACUACGCUCAACAAGACUUAACCGACCGGUGGUACUACUCCACCAACACCUAUACAUGCAAGCUUUUUGGCUCUGGGGUUUGUUUUUACCAAAAGCGACUAGUGUAGGCCCUUACUUUCAAUAUUUUAGCCACAAGUUCUACCGUUGUUUUACCAUUCUAGGUUAGCUACUAUACUAAACCAAGCAUGGUUUCCAAGAAAUUAAUACAGGUAACAAAUUUAGAUCAUCAGCAUCUUUCAUUCUUACUCAGUGUAGCAUAGCGAUCAAGUAGUCUCAAACUGUGAGAGGCAGACGAAUCGAUUUGAAUUGCUUAACCAUGCAUGGCAAACCUAGUCCCACGACAUCCCCGCACCACGAAGGGUUGCUUCAUUUGUCAGCCGUCCCCAUCAAUUCCUAGACCCGAGUCGAGCCCACUUCCCUUGGUACAAGGCUCCAUCGAUCCGACCUCUGCCGUUCUAUGACCGCACUUGUCACCACAUGCGGCCACAAGGGAACUCCGUUCUAGAGACAGUGGAACGAUCCGCUCACGUUCCGGUUCAAUCAGGUACUAGGCUUCCCCAUCCCAUACUAGGUAUGAGAUUAGUACUUUCAACACUUGAUCACGAACACUAUCACAUCUAGACCUUAGUCCAAUUUCAUGUAGACAGACGGGGCAAUCCACCGACCACCAAAAUAGUUCACAAAGCCCUGCCCCGUCCAUCGUCCUUAUAGUUGUAGCAAAAGGAAAGUAAACAACUCCUAUAACUCACGAGUGACAGUCAACACUUGACUUUUACCAAAUCCUAUUAAGCAUUACAACUACUCGGCCUAUCAUACUAGUAUUCAGAUCAAAUGGUACUAAGUCAUGCAUCUACGGUUUCAAUCAGCUCCUGGAACAUAAAUGCACAAUCAAGCAAUCAAUUGUAUUGCAAUAUUUAAAAAUAGGAAUUCAUGCUCCGGGGCUUACCUUCACACGGGGAGUUAGCAAACUGGUCUUCGGCUUGCUCCGGUAUGGGCUCGGCUCCGACUGGCUGCAGAUCAGCUACGGCUCCUUCUUCUGGCGCCGGGUGAAGCUCGUAUGUCCCGUCAGCGAGGUUCAGCUCUACACGAAAUGCAAAUGCAUCAAGUUCAAUUUCCAUGCUUUCUCAUAUAGGAUGCAAAACAUGAAUUAGCACGGAAGUAGAAACUACAUUAUGACCACAUUCACCUAAACAAGGUUCUACACCUUCUUUAUUUGCAUAAGGAAGGUGGGUUGUGGUACAAAGCCUGGGGUGGAUUUGAUGGUGAUUGUGUACAUAUAUACAACUGAACUUUAUUAACCUUUAGAUCGGAAAGGUAUCCUAUCCUGAAUGUUUUUUUCCUCUUCCAAAAAUUACCUUUAUCAUUAUUUAAGGUUUCUUUCUUUCAUUUAGCUAGGCUCAUCUUCCAAUUUUAUUUCCACCUUCAACAGCAAGCUAUGAAGCUAAUAAUUUACCAGUAACUUAACUUUGGCAAGGAUAAGCUACUGCAUAAAGUUGAGGUCCAUUGGAGGUGCAUAAAAAGAAUUAGCAUUACUUUAUUACCCUAAGGUAGCGUAUACUUAAAUAUUAUUAAAAUAGCAACAUGAUGAAACUGGUCAUGAAAUUUUAAUAGUAGGUUCCAGGGGUGAAAUAGAGCCUCUGGUGGAUUUUUCACAAUUUUUUUUAGUGAAGGGCAUCUUUUCCGAUACAUUCACCCUAUUUACUCUUCCCUAAAAAGGAAAGUGGUUUUUUCUUAUGCUUCUGAUCAGGUUCCAUAUUUUUCCUACAACCUACACUACACCACUGACCUGUUCCAAUUUGUUUCAUAUUUUUAUCAUUUCUAGUUUAAUUAUUAUGCAAAAGAUAAAAGCAAACUCAGAUUCCCAUGGUAAAACUAAAACAGAGAUUUAAACAUCUGAGCUAGGCUCUAAAUCAUUUUUCCAAGCUUCUACUCUCUGAAACAAACACUUGAGACUUGGAUUUACCAUUUUAGCAUUUUUUUGCAAUUUACUAUGAUUUAAAUGUCUUAAACAAGGAUUAAAACAUAUAACAUUAAUUCUUGCAGAGACAUGUGCCAAAAGUAUUUUUAUUUGAAACUACACUUUACUUUGAGUCUAGCAAAAUUGGUUUGACAUUUUCUGAAUUCUCUACGAGUUUUGGUGAAUUUUCAAAGUUAAAUAUAUAUAUUCUGCCGAUAUAAAAAGAUAAACCGCGGCAAACUUACGGUCUAGCCCCUAGGUAUACGGUUUAAUCGUGCAAAGGCCCCUAGUUUUGCACUAAAACCCCUGAUUCAACUUUCUCAAUCGCAAUCAGGUCCUCGGGCACGCGAUGGCGACGACCGGCCGAAAAUCCGGCGACUCGCCGGCGGCCUUGGGACGAUAAGAGGCCAGGAAGGCUUACGGGCUCACCUUGGGCCAGUUUGAAGCAGUUGGGGGUGACAGGGAGGCUCGGCCGAGGCAAAACACGGUGGCGGGCAGCGUGCGGGGUCUAGAACUGCUCGAGGGAGAGGCGAAGCGGCGGGUGGUGUCAGCGUGGUGCGGGGUUAAGUGGAGGUGGGGGGCUCACGGAGGACCAAGCGGCAGAGCGAAGAGCAAAGACAGGGGAGCUUCGGCGAGGCAAGGGAGAGCAGGGAAGGGGGCACCGGCGGUGCUGGGCUUCCAUUUAUAGGGCCAGGGCGGAGCGCCGAACGAGGCGGGGCCGUGGCGCUGGCGGGCGAGACCGGAGGGGAGCCGGGAAGCUGCUACGGCCAUUAAUGGUGGCGGCACCAUUGUCGGACAGAGGAGGGAGGGUGGCGCGGCACGCGAGGCAUGUAGGUGCGGGCGAAGUGAGCGAGCUUGCACGACAACACCGGCUUUGCUGGGACGCGUCACUGGCGAGGCGGGGAGGAGUUGUCGCGGCUGGGGUGGCAGUUGGCGGAGGCGGCAGCAGCCGGGCAGGCAUCCGCGGGGACGUGUGCUCUCGGAGAUACAAAGCACCAAAGUUUGGAGGAACGCCGGUUUUUCGGACUUAGUGAAAAUCAGCUGUUUGGCUGUUUUCAAGGUGUUUGGCUGACUUGAGCUUCUAUUUUGAAAAGUUUCGGAUGUGAAUUGGACUAGAGUCCAAUUGACAAAGUUGUUGCAUAAACUUAGUUCUCAAACUCUUAUAAAGAAUUUUUCUGAUGUUCAGUUCAACUUUUCAGAGAUAAGUUCAUGCCAAGAUGCAUGGUUGAACAGAUUCCUAGACUUGUCUAGAUUGCAAGUCUUGGGCUGAGUUAACCAAACUAGGUGACUUUGACCUAGCUUUUGAAGGCCUUCUAUGCAGAUUUAGAACUUACUCCUUUAGUCAAAGUUGUUAAGGUCUCGAAGCUCUAAAAGUUUGGUACAGAGCUCAUCUUGAUUUUAUAUUAGAAAUUUUGAAAUAAAGAGCCCCAAAGUUGGUACUUUAUCUGUUUUUCUUAAGCUGAAAUUGACACAGCUUUGUACUUUGAGUUUUUGAAGGUCUUCUGCUCAAAUUCAAGCAAAACACCAAAAUAAAAGUUGUUAGGAAAGUUGAGUUCUACAACUCUUAGUUGGACAGAUGUUUAAGUUCUUAAGAAAAAAUUUGAGUUAUGAUUUAAACAGCGGUUUAGCUUGUGAGGGGCACAAGCAUCUUUUUUACUUGGUUUCACAGCUGCCACUCGUUCUCUUAUGCUCUAAUAACUUUACUUAAGAUUAAACAUGGUUUAAUUAGGCUAGGUUGUUGCAGGCCCCUAUCGAGCGGGCAUCCCCGGUCGGUCUUGGGCUAGGUUGUCGCAUACAGACUCGGAUUGGGAUGUUCAAGCACUUCAUGGAAUCCUUAUGAAGUCUAUUUUCAUAUAGAUCUAGACUUAUGUCCAUAUCUGUUCUGAGGCGCCCGCAAUAAUCAAAUUAUUACCGAGAGGUUUUUCUAUCCAAGGUGCUGCGUCGCCUUAUUUUGGCCCAAUGGGCUGUGUAUCAAGUUGGGUCCAUUAUGGAUACAUCCUAGGGUUGGAUCAUAACCCCAACACCCUUGUGGUCAUCCUCCCAUGUUCUUAUACCCCUUAGCCACCACCAGGAACACUCAGGUUUUGUUUAGAUUAAGUUUAGCUUUUGCUACUUGCUUGUAAGCGCACAUGCUGGAUCAAUUGCCUAUCUUGUUGUAUUCGAAACCCCACCAUAAUUGAGUUUGAGUUUGAAACCUUCAUCUACAUCUAGUAAUUUAGUACUUGUUAUACUUGUUCUUGCUAGUUCUUCAAUUGUUUGCAGGACAAAGUGGUCGGGUGACGCCCUUCACAAGAUCACAACAGCCAUUGGAGGUGGUGUAUCGGUUGCUAAGGUGCAGUAUUUUUAGAAGGCUGUAGUUGGGCCGUGAACGUCAUCUCCAUCCACCAAUCGAAUUAUCCCCUUCCCUCUAAUCGAAAGAUUAGGAUUCAACCCAUGGGAUUCACAUCAGUUGGUAAUCAGAGCAAGGUUUAUCGGUGAGAGACUUCCAAUCCUUCUCUAUUUUAGUUUUCCUAUAGUCCAGAAAAGCUAAAAAAUAGUAGAUUAGUUCACCCUCAAUCCUAUAAAUCCUUUGAGCCUUUACUAGUACUGCUUAGUUAGGGCUUGUUGAGUUUUCAGUUGCAUCGGUUGUGUCGAGUUGCUAGUCUUAGUUUUAGUCCUUUAGAGUUUCAAGUUCUUGUCACGUUCUAGUCAUAACCAUGUGCUACCAUAUAAACCCCCUAUUGGCUGAAUCUGAGUACAUCUUUAUGUUCAAGUCUGACUAGGAAUUUGAGUUGUUUGAGUCCGAAUCCCAUGUGGUGUUGAAGUUCGAGUUGGAAUCGGGUUUGAGUCUGAAAUGGUUGCUGCACCAUGUUACCAAAUCUUGUUGCUGUUGCGCUUGUACUAGAUAUAUUGAAGUGUUUUAGAAAGGCAGCAGUAGUUCAUACCUAUACUCGACUUAUCCACGUUGUGCAUAUUCCAUAAGCUCGGCUUACAAAAUUUCUUUUUUACCAAAAUACCCUUGUAUUUUCGAAAAAAGUGUGUGUGGUGUUUCACUCUUGAGAAGCCCCUGUGUUUAUAUAAUUAGUUUUUGAGGAUCCCCUAAAAAAAGAAGAGAAAAGAAAAAAAAGGAAGAAAAUGGGUUGUUCGUUGUGCUUCUCUAUUCUUUCCGGUGGUGUGUUGUGAUGUCCUUUAUGUCCAGACUCGCACCUCUAGUACGGUCUAGGCUAGGACCAGCAAAGUACUGUCAUUGAAUGAUUAUUCAGUCUGCUUUUGUGACUAACAUGGUGCUAGUACUUCCUUGCUUCAGCCCACCUACAGCUCCACAUAUUUCAACUACAGCUUGACAGGUCUUAUUGCUGCGGUAUCGAUACACUUCGUUUUACAGUUGCAGACUUGUUGGUUGUUGUCCCCUCCUAUUGAGCAAGGUUAGAAUUGGUAAGAGCUUUUGAAACAGGUUGAGAGUGAGUGCCUUACAGUAGCUACAUCCUAAUAGAUGUAGGACUUUUAUUUCUUCACAUGUUUUCUUGUUUCCAUAGUUCUUUUAACCAUGGCAGGUUCUGAGGUUGGUGACAGUAUGCAACAUUCACCUUGCACCAAGGGCAUCAUACAACAUUUUGAAAGAUAGGUGAAGCUGUACACAGAAGGGCUCGAUGAUGACUUGCAGGUGAUGAAUGACAAGAUUGGGUAGUUGGAGGCCACGCAGAUUACCACCAACACCAAGCUUACAGGGGUGGAGAUGUCGGUUGCUCGUAUUGACAAAAGUCUUGCUACUCUUCUGAGGUGUUUUGACGAGGUGCAUGCCAAAACAAGAAGGAUGAGCAUGUCGAGGAUAAUUGAGAUGCUGAUACUGAACAAGAUGACCAAGACGCUCAUGAUCGCCGAUAGGUGAGGUAUAGGUGGUUACCAGCAACGUGAGGUACAUAAUAAUGAUGAUGCUUUCAAAAAGAUAAAAUUUAAGAUACCUCCUUUUGAUGGUAAAUAUGAUCCUGAUGCAUACAUUACUUGGGAAAUUAUUUUUGAUCAAAAGUUUGCAUGUCAUGAAUUUCCUGAGAAUACACAUGUUAGGGCUGCUACUAGUGAGUUCACUGAUUUUGCUUCUGUUUGGUGGAUAGAACAUGGUAAGAAAAAUCCUAAUAACAUGCCACAAACUUGGGAUGCUUUGAAAUGGGUCAUGCGGGCUAGAUUUGUUCCUUCUUAAUAUGCACGUGAUCUGUUAAAUAAGUUACAACAGUUGAGAUAGGGUGCUAAAAGUGUAGAAGAAUAUUAUUAGGAAUUACAAAUGGGUAUGCUGCGUUGUAACUUAGAGGAGGGUGAGGAACCUACUAUGGCUAUAUUUUUGGGUGGUUUUAACUAGGAAAUUCAGGACAUCCUUGCUUAUAAAGAUUAUACUAACGUAACCUAUUUAUUUCAUCUUGCUUGUAAAACUGAAAGGGAAGUGCAGAGGCGACGUGCUAGUACCAAGACUAAUAUUUCUGCAUACAUCAUGGAAGCCGCGCAUGACUACCUUUCUGACCGGACGUGCACCUCCGCCCUCUCCCUCCUCGAGUCAGCUGGUGCCACCUCCUCCGUCCAGCGACAAGCAAUGUGCUCCUCCCACAAAUUCAACAACCAAGACUGCCCAGAAGCCAUCCACUAAUGCCUCUUCUGUUGCAUCCAUGGGUAGAACAAGAGAUGUUUAGUGCCAUCGAUGCAAGGGUUUUGGACAUGUGCAGCAUGACUGUCCUAGCAAGUGUGUUUUGGUGGUCAAAGAAGAUCGUGGGUAUUCAUCUGAUAGUGAUUUUGAUGAAGAUACACUUACUUUGCUUGCUGCUGACCAUGCUGGUAGUGAGGAACAACCAGUAGAGCAAAUUGGUGCAGAGGAUGCAGAUCAUUAUGAGAGCCUCAUUAUGCAGUAUGUGCUUAAUGCACAGAUGGAUAAGGUGGAGCAGAAUCAGCGGCAUACACUAUUUCAAGCAAAGUGUGUCAUUAAAGAGCGUUCGUGCCGUUUAAUCAUUGAUGGAGGUAGCUGCAACAACUUGGCUAGCAGUGAUAUGGUGGAGAAGCUUGCACUUACAACCAAACCGCACCCACAUCCAUAUCCCAUUCGAUGGUUGAACAAUAGUGGUAAGGUAAAGGUAACCAAACUGGUAUGAGUUAAUUUUGCUAUUGGCUCGUAUCGUGAUAUUGUUGAAUGUGACGUUGUGCCUAUGGAAGCUUGUAGUAUUCUGCUAGGUAGACCAUGGCAAUUUGAUACAAAUUGUAUGCAUCAUGGUAGAACAAAUCGGUAUUCCCUCAUACACCAUGAUAAGAAAAUUGUUUUGCUUCCUAUGUCUCUUGAAGCUAUUGUGCGUGAUGAUGUUGCUAAAGCUACAAAAGCCAAAACUGAGAGCAAUAAAAAAUUCAAAUCUGUUGGUAGUAAGAAAGAUGAGAUAAGAUUAAAAGGAUAUUGCUUGCUUGUUACUAAAUCUUAUAUUAAUGAAUUGGUUGCUUCCACUUCUGUUGGCUAUGCUUUGGUAUGCAAAGAUGCUUUGAUUUCAAUUCACGAUAUGCAGCAUUCUUUGCCCCCUGCUAUUGCUAAUAUUUAGGAGUAUUCUGAUAUUUUUCCAAGUGACAUACCAGUAGGGCUGCCACCAAUACGAGGAAUUGAGCACCAAAUUGAACUUAUUCCUGGUGCAUGUUUGCCAAACCGUGCGCCAUAAAGAACAAAUCCGGAGAAAACAAAAGAAAUUCAGUGGCAAGUGCAAGAACUACUUGACAAAGGUUAUGUAUGUGAGUCUCUUAGUCCUUGUGUUGUUCCAGUUAUUUUAGUGCCUAAGAAAGAUGGAACAUGGCGUAUGUGUGUUGAUUGUAGAGCUAUUAAUAAUAUCACCAUUCGAUAUCGACACCCUAUUCCACGUUUAGAUGAUAUACUUGAUGAAUUGAGUGGUGCUAUUGUGUUUUCCAAGGUCGAUUUGCGUAGUGGGUACCACCAGAUUCGUAUGAAAUUGGAAGAUGAAUCGAAAACUGCUUUCAAAACUAAGUUCGGUCUAUAUGAGUGGUUAGUCAUGCCUUUUGGGUUAACUAAUGCACCUAGUACUUUCAUGAGAUUAAUGAACGAGGUUUUGUGUGCUUUCAUUGGAAAAUUUGUUGUAGUCUACUUUGAUGAUAUAUUGAUUUACAGAAAAUCUAUGGAUGAACAUCUUGAUCACUUACGUGCUAUUUUUAAUGCUUUACAAGAUGCACAUUUAUUUGGUAACCUUGAGAAGUGCACUUUUUUCACCGAUCGAGUAUCUUUUCUUGGUUAUGUUGUGACUCCACAGAGAAUGGAGGUUGAUCAAGUAAAGGUAGAAGCUAUACAGGGCUGGCCUAUACCAAAGACUAUCACACAGGUGCGGAGUUUCCUAGGACUUGCUCGUUUUUAUCGUCGUUUUGUGAAGGACUUCAGCACCAUUGUUGCACCUUUGAAUGAGCUUACAAAGAAGGCAGUGCCUUUUAGUUGGGGCAAAGUACAAGAGAACUCCUUCAACAUGCUAAAAGAUAAGUUGACACAUGCACCCCUCCUCCAACUUCCUGAUUUUAAUAAGACUUUUGAACUUGAAUGUGAUGCCAGUAGAAUUGGAUUAGGUGGUGUUUUGUUACAAGAAGGCAAACCUGUUGCAUAUUUUAGUGAAAAAUUGAGCAGGCCUGUUCUGAAUUAUUCUACUUAUGAUAAGGAACUGUAUGCUCUUGUUCACACAUUAGGAACAUGGCAGCAUUACUUGUGGCCCAAAGAGUUUGUUAUCCAUUCUGAUCAUGAAUCUUUGAAGCAUAUUCGUAGUCAAGGAAAAUUGAACCGUAGACAUGCCAAGUGGGUUGAAUUUAUUGAAUCUUUUCCUUAUGUUAUCAAGCACAAGAAAGGAAAGAGAAUAUCAUUGCUGGUGCUUUGUCUAGGAGAUAUACCUUACUGAAUCAACUUGAUUACAAAAUCUUUGGAUUAGAAACAAUUAAAGACCAAUAUGUUCAUGAUGCUAAUUUUAAAGAUGUGUUCUGCAUUGUAAAGAUGGGAAAGGAUGGAAAAAAUUCAUCAUUAGUGAUGGGUUUGUGUUAGAGCAAACAAGCUAUGCAUUCCAGCUAGCUCCGUUCAUUUGUUGUUGCUGCAGGAAGCUCAUGAAGAUGGCUUGAUGGGGCAUUUUGGAGCAAAGAAAACGGAGGACAUACUUGCUGGUCAUUUCUUUUGGCCAAAGGGAAGAAGAGAUGUGGAGAGAUUUGUUGCUCGUCGCACAACAUGUUAAAAGGCUAAGUCACGGUUAAAUCCAUACAGUUUGUAUUUGCCGCUAGCUGUUCCUAGUGCUCAUUGGGAAGAUAUUUCUAUAAAUUUUGUGUUGGGAUUGCCAAAGACUAGGAAGAGACGUGAUAAUGUGUUUGCGGUUGUUGAUACAUUUUCUAAGAUGGCACAUUUCAUACCAUGUCAUAAAACUGAUGAUGCUACUCAUAUUGUUGAUUUGUUCUUUUGAGAAAUUAUUCGUUUGCAUGGUGUGUCCAACACAAUUGUUUCUGAUCGUGAUGCUAAAUUUUUAGUCAUUUUUGGAAGAUUUUAUGGAAAAAUUGGGGACUAAGAUUUUAUUUUCUACUACAUCUCAUCCCGAAACUGAUGGUCAAACUGAAUUUGUAAAUAGAACUUUGUCUACUAUGUUAAGAGUUGUUUUAAAGAAUAAUAUUAAGAUGUGGGAAGAUUGUUUGCCGCAUAUUGAAUUUGCUUAUAAUCGCUCACUGCAUUCUACUACAAAGAUGUGCCCGUUUCAGAUUGUUUAUGGUUUGUUGCCUAGUCUACCUAUUGAUUUAAUGCCUUUGUCAUCUUCUAAAAAAUUAAAUUUUGAUACUACUAAGCGUGCUGAAUUGAUGUUAAAACUGCAUGAAACAGCUAAAGAAAACAUAGAGUAUAUGAAUGCUAAAUAUAAGUUUGCUAGUGAUAAAGGUAGAAAGAAACUAAUUUUUGAACCUGGAGAUUUAGUUUGGUUGCACUUGGGAAAGGAUAGGUUUUCUGAAUUGAGAAAGUCUAAAUUGAUGCCUAGGGCUGAUGAACCAUUUAAAGUGUUAGAGAAAAUUAAUGAUAAUGCAUAUAAGCAAGAUCUGCCUGCAGAUUUAAGGGUUAGUCCCACAUUUAACAUUGUAUAUUUAAAACUAUAUUUGGGAGAAGAAGAUGAGCUUGAGUCGAGGACGACUCAAAUACAAGAAGGGGCGGACGAUGAGGACAUCAACAUCAAUGAUACAUCCACGCCGACACACGUACCAAUUUCUGGUCUCAUUACUCGCGCUCGUGCUCGUAACCUCAACCAUCAGGUGAGUACACUCUUGAGUUCAUGUCCAUCAUAUUUAGACCAUGGAGACAGGUGCACUCUUAUUUUGCUUAGGAACCAGGGAGAAAACUGAAAGAGAAAAGGAUUCAAGCAAGCUGGAUUCGGACUGCAGAACAAUACCAACUUGUGAUGAUCACCACAGUCGCAUACGGACUUGGAUUGGGGCAUUCAAGUACUUCAUAGAAUCAUUAUGAAGUCUAUUUUCAUAUGGAUCUAGACUCAUGUCCAUAUCUAUUCUGAGGCGGCCGCAAUGAUCAAAUUACUACCAAGAGGUUUUUCUGUCCAAAGUGUUGCGUCGCCUUAUUUUUGCCAAAUGGAUUGUGUAUCAAGUUGGAUCCAUUAGGCAUGCAUCCUAGGGUUGGAGCACGACCCCAAAACUAUUGUGGUCAUCCUCCCACAUUCUUAUACCCCUUAAUCGCCACCAAGAACACUCAAGUUUUGUUUAGAUUAAGUUUAGCUUUUGCUAUUUGCUUGAAAGCGCGCGUGUUGGAUCAGCCGCUUGUCUUCUUGUCUUCAGAACCCCACCAUAGUUGAGUUUGAGUUUGAAACCUUCAUGUACAUAUAGUAAUUCAGUACUUGUUAUACUUGUUCUUGCUAGUUCCUUGAUUGCGUGCUGGACGAGUGCCCUAGUGGCUGGGUGACGCGCUCCACAAGAUCACGACAACCAUUGGAGGUGGUGUAUCGGUUGCUAAGGUGCAACAUCCUUGGAAGGUUGUAGUCGGGCCGUGAACAUCAUCUCCAUCCAUCAAUCGAAUUAUCCCCUUCCCUCUCAUUGAAAGAUCGGGAUUCAACCCAUGGGAUUCCCAUCAGUUAGUCCUAAGAUGUGUUCCCCCUUUAGAAGCUUCUUAAAAUUAUUCAUCCCAACAUGAGCUAGCCGGCGAUGCCAAAGCCAACUCAAGCUAAACUUUUCCAUCAAACAUGUAUCAAGUUGAGCUUUAUCUGAGGUAAAAUUCACUAGAUAAAGCUUUCCCUUGAGUUCACCCUUGAAAAAAAUGGAGUCAUCUCUUCUUCUAAAGAUGGUCUAACCCUCAUUAGAGAGCAAACAAUUGUAACCCAUCUCGCAAAGUUGUGACACGGAUAACAAAUUGUAGUGCAAAGAUUCAACCAAAUAAAUAUUGGAAAUUGAAUGAUCGGUUGAGAUAGCAACUUUACCUAGACCAAUAACGGUUCCUUCAUUGUUAUCACCAAAUAUGAUCUUCUCUCUUGGAUUUUUCUUCAUUUCACAUGAGGAGAGCAUCAUUUUCUCACCGGUCAUAUGAUUUUUGCAUCCACUAUCAAUCACUCAUUUUAUUCCACCGAUGGAGUACAAAACAAAUUAGGCUUGUGUUUUAGGUACCCAAUGACACGUGGGUCCUAAAGCAUUAGUCACAAGAACCUUGGGCACUAACACACUCCUUUUGAUCAAUGUGUCCUUGGUGCAACACCCCACAUACUUGGCUAUCACCUUACCCUUGUGAUCCUAAGUCAACACAUAAUCAGCAUAGAAACCAUUUUGUGAGGCAUAUAUCUUAGGCUUCUUAGCUUGUUUUGGUUGAGUGACCUUUGACUUGACUAGAUAGGCAUGGUGUUUAGCUUGUAUUUCUUGAUAGUUGUAGAAUUUGAUGGGCUUGUUGUACUUAAGUUGCUUGCCAACAACUCUUGCACCUAGUGGCACUAUACCAUGCACCACCUUCUUUGACCCCAUGCUCAUGGUGUGGUUUUUCUUCACGAAUGGAAUUGGAUCAAGUGAGCCUUUCUCAUACUUACCUAGUCCCUUGCCAUCCUUAAAGCCAAACUUCUUCAUGUAGUUUUACCCAAAGCCCUUUGUGUAAUUCUCAAACUCACCCCUUUUGGAGGUACUCUUUUCUUCAUUCAGGUGUGAGUUUGACAACCUAGCAAUCUCUUUCUUCCUAGCAUUCAUUUUGGCAAUGUUAGUAGCACAAGCAUUAACAACAAUUUUAUAACAUCUUGUAUAAACAUUGUUGUGGAGGCACUAUAAGAUAUGGAUGCAUCAUUAGAGUUGGAUAAGUUACUUUUCUUAAGAGUGUUGAGUUGGACUUCAAGUGCCGUGUGAUUGGCUUUCAAACUACUAAGGUUCUCUUGAAGUUCAACCUGUUCAUUCCUAAGAUUAGCACUAGUGCCCUUAGCUAAGGAUAGUUCCUUAGUUAAUUCUUCCACUCUCAUCUUCUCUUUAUCAAGAUAUUUCUCAAGGCUAAGAAUCUUAUCUAUUCUAGUCUUUAGCAAGUCCUCUUGCACCUUGAAACCCUUCUUUUCAUUUUCAAAGGAAUUCUCAAGAGCAAUGGUUUUCUCUCACUCAAGUCUAAGUAACUCUUCUUGUACCUCAAGAGUCUUAUCCCUAUCUUCUAUUUCCAUCAUUAGUUUCAUUAUCCUUUUAGUAGCACAUUUACCUAAACCUUUUAAUAUUUUUUCAUCAUCACUAUUGACAUCAUCAACACAAGGUGAAUCGGAAUCUACCUUGGGUUCUGUAGCCAUGAGACAAGUGUGGGUGAAGUCAUCUUCAUCAUCGGUGAGAUCCUCAAAUAAAGAUGACUUGGAAGUUAACACUCCAAUAGCCAUUGUAGCCAAUCUAACUUCUUCAUCGGAGUCCGAUCUUUCUUCAUUUGAAUCCCAUUCUUGACCCAAGUGAGUUUCACCAACGUUUUUCUUCACAAACUUGGAUGAUUCAUUUUUCUUGAUAUUGACUUCCGGGCAAUUUGCAAUGAAAUGACCCUCCUUGCCACAUCCAAAGCAUGGCCUCUUUAACUUUCUUUUUAUUUUGCUCUUAUCUUUGUUCUUAUCAAAGAAACCACCUUUCUUCAUCACUUUCUUGAUUUUUCUCAUGAACAAGAUCAUUUCUUUCUCAUCCAUAUUUUCACUAUCACUAUCAUUACUAUCAUCCUUGGUAACUACAUUGUAUGAUGAGCUUGCUCCCUUUUUUUGUUCUUGUCGAUUGCUUUGAGAGCUACUCCAUUUUUCUUCUCUAAUUGAUCAUGAAUCUUGGACAUUUCUUAGGAUAGCUUGAUUUCCUUGACGGUAAUAAGAUUUUCGUCAAUUCUUACAAUCACAUCCGCUGGAGUGAACUUCUUGAACCCUCUCUUCUCUCUAAGCAAGGUAGGAAGUUGAACAUCUCUAGCCAUAUAAACUGAUAGAAUCUUGUCAACCACUUCUCUCUUCCCCAGUUGUCACUUCCAAGAGACCUUAUCUUGUUAACAAUCUUGUUCAACCUAUUGUACAUCUCUUGUAGUGUCUCAUUUUCUUUAAUGAUGAAGCAGUUGAGUUCACUUUCUAGUUGUCUUAUCCUUCCUUCUCUAAUUUUUCUUGUUCCUUGAUGAUUAUUGAGAAGAGUGUCCCAUACUUCCUUAGCGGAUCGUAAUCCAUCGAUCUUGUCAAAUUCUUCGGCACAUAGUGAGUUCUUGAUGAGAUGUAAAGCUUGGAAGUUACGUUGAAUGUCGAUUGCUUGAUCUUGUGUGAGAGGAGCAUCUCCACAUGGAAAGAUGAUACAUACAUCAACAACUUCCCAAAGCGUAGGGUUGACCGUCAUCAAAUAGUCCCUCAUCGAAUCUUUCCAAGCGGAAUAGCUUACCCCAUUGAAACGAGGUGGCUUUCCCAGUGGGAUGGACCCGGAUGAGGUGUUGAAAUUUAAAUGACUAUAAUUGAAAGAGAUUUGGUAAAACUCCCUUUGUGAAGCUUGGCGUCCGGAGCGGUUUGAUCUUGCAUCAUCAUAAUACGAGUCAUUGUCGGAAGAUUCUCCAACUUCUUCAUUCCUUGGCUUUGCACUUGUGCUUGCUCUACCAGCAUCUCUUCCUUGAGCAAUUGUUUGUGCACCUUGUGGUAGAACGGGAUGUUGCACUGCAUUUGGAUAGGUUACAUCACCUCCGGGUGGCACCUCCAGACCUCCCGUUGUUUACAUCUUGAUACUCCAAGCGGUUAUGCUUCAAUUCGGAGACCAAAGCUCUGAUACCAUUGAAAGGAUAUAGGAUGUUAACUAGAGGUGGGGUGAAUAAUCGAUCCUGAAAUUUUCCACAACUUAAACCAACUUUGUCAGUGAGUUCUGAAGUUUCCAAAGAUUUUUCCAGAAUCUCCGAAGAAAUCUACGGAUUCUAUGGAGAUUUAAGAAGAAAUCAACUAUGCCUUAUGCAGACCUUAUCCAAAAUUAAAUCGAUGAAUAUAGGUUAUAUAACAAGGUAUACUGAGCCUGAAUCACAUGGUAGAAACACUAGCAACCCUCUCAAAAAGUAGAUCAAUCACAAACCCUAGGUAUGAACUCUAUGCUAGAAUAUGAACGAAAUGAAGAACAUCAAGCACAAGACACAAGGAUCCGUUUACCGGAGUUCAGCUCCACACUUGAAGCCUACCUCUCCAUUGAGGAACCCACAAAGGGUGGGCCUUUGACACCUAGGUCACUUUCCUCACUCUAGCGACCACAAAGAUCAACCUAGAGUCACAAUCAUGGAUGCUCCACGGGCAAUGCCUAGCCAGCUAGGAGCUUGAAGCUUCAAGAGUAACAAACAUGAAAUCACCGGCUUGACAAAGAACAAGGUGCUUAAGUUAGGUCCAGAGAGAGGCUGAGGGAGGGGUGAGGGGGUAUUUAUACCGCUUCACCCCGAAACUAGCCAUUGGGGGUUAAGUUCCGGAGUUUUCUAGAACUUUCUCUGGAACCUCCAGUAUCUUCUGGAACUUUCUCCGAAAACUCUGGAACCUCCAAAAUAUUUCGGAACUUUCUCCGGAAACUGUGGAACCUCCGAAAUAUUUCGGAACUUUCUCCAGAAUACUCUGGAGCUCUCAUUUCAGCACUUUUCUAAGUAUCCCCAUGUGAAGUGCAGGUGUAAAGGUGUCUCUCAUAGGUUGGCUAGUUUAUCUUGAGCACCUUUUCCAAUGUAAAGACCAAAGAUUACGCAUUCCUCUUAAUAGUGCGGCAUUCCUAUACACAAAUUUAAAUCAAAAAUAAAUUUAGCCUUCAAGGUAUGCCUCAUAUUCAUUCAUUUCCUUUAUGAGGGUCAUCCACAAGUGCUACAUGUCCACCAAUCAUUUUAAACCUGCUCGUGCACUUCAAAAUUCAUUAGUCACUUAAGCUUGUGUCAUUAAUUCACCAAAACCCACUUAGGGGACAAUUAUACUCUUCAUGAUGGUCAUGAAUUUGGCCAAUGCUGGUCUUCCAAGAAUGGUGUGGUAUGAUAUUUCGAAGCCCGCCACCUCGAACCGGAUGUAUUCUGUCCGGUAGUGUUCUUUGGUCCUAAAGGUAACUGGCAAAACCACUUGUUUGAGGGGUACAGCCGCGUUGCUCGGGACGAUCCCAUAGAAUGGAGAGUUAGUUAGGGUGAGCAUAUCGGUGACAUUGAGGCCCAUCUUCUUCAGUAUCUUGGCGAACAGGAUGUUGAGACCGCUACUGAUGUUGAUGACUACUUUAGUAAGUCUAGAGCCAGCGACAACCGGGUCCAGGAUACGGGGAUACCAUCCUGGGUCUGAGAAACUAGUCCAUUGGUCUUUCAUGUAGAAGGUAAUUGGUACCUCGGACCAUUUGAGGAAUGUUGGCAUCAAAAAUUCAACGGACAUUAUCUCUCAAAGAGUGAGCUUCUGGGACCGCUUAGUAGCAGUACCCGGGGUUCCGCUGAAGAUGACGUUGACAGUGUUGGAUGGGUUCUGAAACUUGCUAUUGUCACCAUCGUCUUCGGCUUCCUUAGCCUUGCCCUUGUCUUUGGUGCCAGAUGGCUCUAGCAGGUCCUUCAUGACUCUUCGUAGACUGAAACAAUCUAUCGCAGAGUGCUUGUGGUAUGGGUGCCAUGGGCACUGUUUCUUCAGGAACUCGUUGAACAAGGGUCUUUUUGAUUCUUGCCGCCACCUUUCUUGGAUAACUGCAAAAUUGCCGUGACAGUAUUGUCUGGCUUGCACUUAUGGUUGUGACCUCCUGAGUAGUUAUUUCGGUUGUCAUUGCUGGGGCGAUCAUCGAGAUUCUUGUUGUUGUGUUGGCCAUUGUUCUGAUUGUUGUUGUUCUAGACCUUGUUGAGAUUGGACUCUAACCUUUCAAUCUCUCUGUCUUCUUCAUCUACCAACGUCUAUACCAUGAUCUUAGAAGAUUUGACAUCAGCGAGAUGUCUUCUGCCGAAGUCCUGGAACAUCCGGCGGUCGUGGAGGCUGUUCUGGAAGCAGUCAUUAACGUCGCGCUCUGUGACAUCUACGAUUGUGGCCUUGUUGUCGAAGAAGCGAUGUAAGUAGCUCAAGCAGAAUCUCACCUUCUUGUUGUUUAACUUGAGACAAGUCGAUACUAUUGCCAGGACGCUGCAUUGCCCCUGCGUAGUUGUUGGUGAACACUACCUUGAGGUCCUUCCACGAAUUGAUGGACUUCUUAUCAAACGAUUCGAGCUAUGUGAGUGGCGCCACCUCCUUGCAGAUGGGGAAUCAGAUGACUUUGGUGUCAUUGUUUUCCACAGUUGCUUGUACUGACAGCGAGUAGCACCGGAGCCAUUGGACUAGAUCCUACCUGCCAUUGUACUUGGUGAUACCCAGGGGUUUGAACUUUUUGGGUAGAUUUGUCUUCCUCACACGUCUUGUGAAGGUGGGGAACCCGUUAGUAUGAUCUCCUGUGUGUUCGACUUCUUGCUCGCGUUCGACGCGUCGUCUGUCGAUGAUAGUACAAGCAUCGCAGCUGGCGUUGAUCUUGUUGCGGAGCUAUCCAACUGGGCGUUCAGGCUCUAGGUUAGCCCCAUGGUGGCCACGGCCUCCGAGGAUCCUGCUCGACUACCUUCAGCUCCAGCUUGGCUUGGUUUGGCAUCUCCGAGUUGACUUGGUCUGGAUGGAGGGCCUCUAUGGUUGCAGCCAUCUUGAAUUCGCUCGGAUGGGGAGCAUUGGAUGGACUGUAUCGGAUUCUGCUGAUCGAGUUGUUCAUACACGAGUUCCGCCAGAUCAGCCAACAGUCUUGUGUACUUGUUAAGAGGCAUUGCGAGGGUGAUGAGAUCAAUAGACGCGACGGUAGCCAGGGGAGUAUGAUGCUGACGCUUUUGAACUACUUCAAAGAUGUUAUCCAGGUUCUGGAUUGGUAGGUCCGGUGCAAGGCAACGGUGACGCUCUGUUGUUGCGGUGUUUCUUACUCGUCGUCGAGUUCUUUGAGCUUUGGUUGCUUCUCCAACAAUGUUGACAGUGAGUUCAUCCUGUGAGACGUCAUCCGGGUGAUGCUCAUGCUGCAGGUUUCUGUCUUGUUGCUCUUAUUCUAUGUCCUCUUGUCCAGUAAUGACGGCGAAGUGUUCUCGCUCUAGAGGGUGGCUUCCCGAGCUUGAAGUGAUGACCACCGUAGUGCCACCUUCCUCAUAGAUGGGAGAUAGAGGACCUUCCUCCUGGUACGAGAGAGUGUCGAGGUAGGCGAUGAGGCGUGAAUCGUCAUCUUUGGCAAGAGCGGGUGGCUUCAUGUUGGGCCAGUAGACGAAUCUGCCUUGGAAAAUUGAUGUGAUUACCAAGCCAUGCUGCGGACCUGAUAAAGGAGUCUCCUCAUCCGGAUCUGAGUAGUAGUCGAGGUUCUCAAUCAUAUCCGUAUCGAAUUCUGAUCUGGACAGGGCAUCCUGAUGAAUAGUGGCCGCAUUGCAGAGUCCAAACGGGAAUUGACUCGGGUAGUAGUCUGACUCGCACGAUGGCUUAUGUGCCGGCUCAUGGAAGUCAAUCCAACUGGUGGAAGAAGUUGAGUUGAACUUGGACUCGUCCCCCUAGCCUCUUACUAGGUUAGAAAUUGAAAAUUCAUCGAAAUUCUCGACGAGAUCCUCCGAGCUUGGCGCUAGAGCUUCAUGGUUUGCUGCUUCUUCUCCGGGGUCGACGCAAUGUGGCAGUGGAAAUUUCCAACGUCGUCUGCGAUGCAAACCUAGGAGCCGAAGACAAACAUCGCACCUGCUUCGAACGCGAUGAUUGGCUUGAUGAUGACUUGUGCCAUUAAGUUCACCAGUGGAUUCUCGACGAGGUCCCCUACCUGGCGCGCCAGCUGUCGGUGUUUAAACCCGAAAACCUACCGAGGGGGGUGCCCGAGGUAGUGUUUUCGUUAGUGGGCCUCGUCAACAUCAAGGACUCGAAGGUAAACAUAGGCACACGAUUUAGAUAGGUUCGGACCGCUAGAUUGCAUGUGUGUUGGUUGGAUUGAAUUGCUUUGGAGAGGAUCUAUGCCUCGCCUUAUAUUGUUGUGGCAGGGUUAUAGGUCAGUUGGUUACAAGAAUACUAGUCGGAUACGACUAAAGGGGUUCUACUCUUAUUACAAUGAGUACUUUUCUAAUCCUCGACUAGUUAUAGCCUUUCCAUGUAGACUACGCCGUCAUGCACCAUGGUCUCCAUGUUGGAUGCAUCUCGGUGUCCAACCCCAUAUUUAAGAUCGUCCAAACCUUCUGGUGGGACCAUAUUUUAUGUACGACAUACCACGGGCUGACCUCCUUCCUCACCAUCUCAAUGGCUUGUUCUAAGUCGUGGCGGUGCCCGACUGACUAUGACUACACAUCUUUCUUCUCAAAACCCUCCACAGGGCGGCUGAUCAACGCCCACCUCGAUUGAAUUCUUGGAUGAUACGAAAAACAACCCCAUUAAGGAUUACAACAAUGACCUCCUCUUGCCUUGGGAGCUUGUGGUUAACCCUGCCACGCAGAAACGGGUUCCCUUGCCUUCGUUCUUGAACCCAGCAUGUAUCGGGAUAGAGCGCUUCUACAGUUGCUUUUUUCUUGCGUGCGAUCCCAUCGCGUCACCACAUCAUCAGGUUGUUCUUUUCCCAUAGUUCUCUUCGUAGAAGCUAACAUCAAAUUCAAGGAUGUGCCAGAAUGGUCAUCGUCUGCCUUCACGACGCAAAUCUUCUCGUCGAGGAAAUGGAGGUGGGAGGAGAGGUCAUUUGUUCAGCAAGGGUAGGCUGUCAGGAGGUACCAUUGCCGAUAUGCGCUACAUGGAGCAAAUACAUGAACGCCAAGCCGUCUAUUUGCGGUGAGUAUGUCAUGCGCAUUGCCAAAAUAACUGUUGCGAUACAAAUCCAUCCAUUCACUGCUUGAGCAUGUAUAUGAAUGUUUUAUUGAGAAGUGCUCCGGUACUCCUUUUUAAAAAAGUAGCAUGAAUCCUAAAGCAUACUUAAUUAAUUAAGAAUAUUAUUUAUGAUGUUUACUUGUAGGUACCUUCCUGGUUCCGGUCCUCACCUGUCCAAUCCAGCCCAGCCCAUCCAAAUAAACACACAAUCUAAUCACAUGCAUCUGUGGCAAGAAGUACCAGUGAACCCUAAUACGUAAAAUUAUAGCUAGUAUGACAAAUGGUUAAAACAUAUUAUCGAUUAAACUAGCAAAUUGAACUCGAUUUACAACUUUAGAGAUCAUAUAAGAAUUUUUUUCCCUUGUAGCUUUUGUUGUCAACAAUAGCCUCUGGACAUUUUCCUUAGAUAAAGAACAUGGAUUGAAUGCAAACUCAAACAAUCAGAACUUGGGUCAUCAACAUUCAGAUCAAGGAAAAUUAUCUUUAUAUAGCCAGCAUCAUCUUCUUUGUCCAUGGAUGAGUGAUUGUUGGACAAAUCUAUUCCUCCCUGCGUAUCUACCGAGCCGACUACCAUCGACGGAUCAAAUCCACAGCCUCACAAGCUAUUAAGCCAAGAUGAGCUCACGGGAAGGGAUAUUUUUUUCAGGGUAACUGAGGAAAGAUGGGCUCAUGGAACUGAUGAAAUGGAUGAAUAUGGUAGCGGAGGCAGCUGAUCUGCAGACAGUUAGGCCAAGGGGCGUGCCGAAAGAGAGAUGAUGUUUAUAUACUAUUCAGAGAGCUGUGGACGAGGAGUGCCCUUGGAUGACGGAGACGGUGGUGGAGUCUCCGGCAACAGGGAGGCGCCGUGACGGUGCAUCUAGACGUCCACGCAGCACGACGCGAGCGGCGGCGCUGCUAACACGAAACAUGUUUUUGUGAACUUGGGCUGGGCUGGGCUAGCUGAUGCGUUAGGCUGGAUUUCAGAUCUUCACAUUAAUUGAAAAUGAUAAUAAGAAUUUUAAUUGUGCUUUGUUAUUCAUGCUAAUCAUUUAGAAAGAGAGCCAACAUCUAUCAAAUUCUUUGAUGUAUUCUGUAACAUCCGUAAAAAUCACCAACUUAAAUCACCCGCAAAAAAAAAAUUCAAAAUCUUUUUACCGUUGAGCUCCCGAAAAUCCCGUCUUCUCGGCGAUUUCGCCGUCCCGGCACCCAAAGCCGACAACCAUCAUUUUUACCCUCUCCACAAAUUCCACCGCAUGCCGGUCGACAAACCGCCGCACGUGCUCCGACCGUUUUCCGCAUUUUCCGCCGACUCUCCCUUUCUUUUUUUCUCUUUUUCCCCUGUUCUUUUUUCUCUCUUUUCUUUUUCUUCCUUCUCUAUCUUCCUUUCUUUCUUCUUCCUUUCUUCUUCUUCCUUCCUUCUCCUUUCUUCUUCCUGGCCGCAUGCGCCUGCCCCGUCCUACGCACCGCACUGACCCCAGGCCCACCUAGCGCCACUUCCCCUGGCGCCGCCCCCUCUCCCUGGCCCGCCUAACACCCUCCUACCACACAUGCCUCGGACCCCCCUCCUCUGCCUCGCCUGCCGCCCCUAGCCCUUGCACCCGCGUCGCGCCGGAGAGCCGGGUCGCCCACACCGACCCCACCCCUGGCCGCGCCCGGCCCCGCACUGAUGCCGCUCAACGCCCAGUGCGCCAACAGCCCCUGCCAUACGCCGGGCCCAUCGCUACACCACCGGCGGCCCCCUACUGCCGCGCCACCGGCACCGCACCAAGACGCCGCCCGCCGCCGCACCUGGCCCCGGUCCCCACCACCGUCGGCCGCUCCCCCACUCCUUCCGCCGGCUAUAAAAGGGGGCGACACCCCGGCCUCCCUCGCCACUCAUCUCCCCAGCUCACCGCCCCCUCUCCAGAACGCCACCCUCGCCGGAGCUCCGCCCGAGCUGCCCCAUGUCCACCACCGGCCCCCUCGCUUCCUGUCGUCGAUUCACCAAGGUGAGGACCAAAAUCGAGUCCCCACGGCCUCCUCUACCUUUCACCGCCGCCAAUCCUUGCCGCCGGCGAGCCUAGGCCGAUCGGCCCCCACCAGUUUCCCCUCCUCUCUCCUCUCCAAGUCACGGUUCAAAGGAGGAGGAAGAAAACCCCCUCCAAUUUCGAUCUAACCCCCAGCUCUUGUCUAUUCACAAAACAGCCCUCUCACCUCUCUCAAACUCUUUUCAUAGAUCAGCCCUUCCACCUCCCAAAAGUAUUUACAAACAAGUCCCUGGUUCUCGCAGUUUAGUCCUAAAACUUGUUUUAAGCCCCUAAACACACGGUUAUCUCGUCAUUUCAUGCGCCAAACUUCCUCCAAUUAACCCAAAAUUCGACCACGGCAUCUUCCAAUAUACUUCCGCUGAGUCAUCUCCAAAUCUCAUGAAAAUACUCAUUCCUUCUAUUUUCCGUUCGCGUUCUCUGUUCAAAGCUCAACGGGUAAAGAUUUAAUUUUCUUUUAUUUAUUGUGUGCCCGAUUGUGUGUGCCGUAGAUCGUGGAGUACCCGAGGAGGAGCCUGAGGAGGAGUUUGACCGUGAGCCCGAGCCCGAGGACCAGCCCCACGAGCAAGAACUCCCAGCCAACUACGAGGACGGCAAGUCCAAUCUCACUCUUUGAUGCAUAUUUAUCCUAGUUUUUCAAACACAACCUAUUGGCUUAUUUUAUAAAAUUGCAUAUUGUUUUACUGCUGAAACACGGUUGGAUAUACACCCCUUGAUUGCUAUGAACAUUCCUUGAUUGUCCUAUAAUUAUCUCUAAAUAUGAUUUGCUCUGUUUGGAUUAUAAUUACUGCUAGAAUGCUUAGGACCUUGUUACUCAAUUCAAUCAUGACUGCAAUGGUUUAUUUAAAGAAUAAAUGUGUGAGUGUUUUCAAAUGAGAAAAAUGGGUUUUCAGAAAUAAAGAAAAGAAAUGCUUAGAGGAGAUGGAUGGGUGUUUCUUGUGUGAAAUGCCAAUAAGUUGGGCUUGUACCUUUGUGGUUGAGCAAGGUUGGGAGAUAUCCAUCUUGUCACAGUUAAGGACCGAGUUGAUGUGCCAUCUUGCCUAACCCACUAUCAUGCAACCACUCAACCGUUGUGUGGGUGGCAGCUUAGCAUAAAUCCCACUAGCUGGUCUGUUAGCCAUCAGGAGAGCUGGUGAGCAACGAGAGACCAUGGAGAAAUACUAAAAACUGUGUGAACUUAGAUCCCGGUUAAGACCUCAUUGGAAGGUCGUUAACCCCUUGGUUGCUUCCGUGUUGGCUAGUCAGUCUUAGCUAAGGUGGGUAAUGGCUUUGAUAGGAUCUGCACCGACACUAAGAUGAUCGUGUUGCGGUACCCUACUUGUGGGUAAAGUGUAUAACCUCUGCAGAGUUAAAACCUAUCCGGGUAGCCGUGUCCACGGCAUUGGACGAGUUACAGCUUGGACACAUAACUAGUGUUUGGGUGAUGGAUGAUUUUCAUGGUGUGAGUUGGAUUUUGGAAGGUGUCCGGCAGUUGUGUCGUGAGCUACCAUGGACAGGGAGUCCGGUAGCAUUAAAACUUGGAUCCUUUGUGUAGGAUCAACCCCUCUUAUUGAUUCGGUUACUAAAGAAAAUAUUUUUUGAAAACCCUUUUGAAAAUGAACCUCUGCAUGUGUUGAAAAACCCAGCUUUAUGGCAAAUAAACCCGAGCUUAAUCCUUGAUAUAUCCUGUGCAUAUUCUUGAUUGUAUCCCCCUCCGUGGAUAGGGUUGGACUUGUUGGGUACUUUUGUACUCACCCUUGUUUUGGUUCUCCAGAGGAAGACCCGUACUUCGUCGAGGAUUUUGAGUAGGAGGUCGCUUCCGCACCCAACGCUACCUGUGGUGUUGGCCUUUGCAGAAUGCUUCCGCUGUCGCUUAGUUCCGAUUGCAGCCCAGAGUCCGACUGGACUGCAACUUAAAUCUAUAUCGUUGUUGGUUUGUUUCUCCUUUGGGUGUGGCUUGCCCGCCCGCUCCUUCGGGAGUUGUACGGUUUUUGAACCAUCUGUUGAAUAAAUGUGUUAGCAACCUUCUGGGACUGGUAUUUGUUUCAUAUUUAGCCUCCGCGGGAUGCUUCAUAUUCUCAUGUGAAACCUCAAAACAUUUAUUAUUUUUGUUUUUAUUAGAAAACACAUAACCAUCUUAGUUUUCAUAUGCAGAAAGGGGCUACUUUUGUGGAUGUCAGACUAAAGUAGUGUUUGCCUGCGAAUGAAAAUUACAUGUUCCUAACAUUUUUUGGGGGUAAAAAACAAACACAUGUUCGUCAUGGACCCUAUUUAUAGUGCUAGCUAAGAUAAAACAGAAAAAGAAUAAGGACAAGCUCUGUGAUUUUUCAUAUGAUAUUUUCAUCUGGUUCGACGGGCUUAUGCAGUAGUAAAAAGGACACAGAACUUUAAAGAUAGAGUGAUUAUUGAACUAACUAUUAAAAUAAUUUUAAAAUUUCAAUAAUAUCUAUGAAUCUAAAGUUAAAAUAACACAUAAUUUAGGAUGGAGGGAGUAAUAUUUUAUUUGUCGUUAUCUUCUAGUCAUGUUUUAAUUUUCUUUUUUCUUUCUUUCUUUUUUUUUGGCGCUGAUAAGCAUAGCUUUCUCAAUAUGGCUUGCUUGCUUUGUCUGAAGUACUUCAAGGGUGAAAGCUAAAGUAUGUGAUUCCUCAUUCUCCGCAGUCCGGAGCUGAUUGUAUUCUGUCGGUGGCUUGCAUGCUCGUAAGCUUGUUGUGGACUGCCAUAAACUGGCAAUAUAGAAACUGCCCAGGCUUUACCACACCGUACACUUUAUUUAUUGCUUGAUCCUGUAGAUCAACGCAAUGGCCCCUUCACGCACGCCUCACUGGACUGGUCCGACACGAUGCUGUAAACGCUGCUGGUCACGUUCCUCAAGUAGCAGCCGUCGGUGGCCUCGUACCUGUACGUCUGCUGGAUGCCCCACGACGCCCCGCGGACGCUGCUCCGCUGCGUGUUGCGCAGCGACUGGUACCUGGGCCCCGACGACCACCGGCCGGCGGCUACCGUCGUCUCCUCCAACCCGUGCGUGACGGUUACCUGGUCCGCUCCUGAGUCCAAGAAAAGCGGGAAGCUCUGGCGCGUCUGCACCGAGUAGUACAGGACGCCGGCGAGGCCCGUGGCGGCGACGCCGGCGUGCGCGACGGUCGUCUGGUUCACCGUCUCGCCGGCGUUGGUGUUGUCGAAGGCGAACGUCUGCGUGGCGUUCGUCGUGAUGUUCCCGUACGACGACUUCACCCAUCCGGUCGCCGAGACCUUCCGGCUCGCCGUCGUUCGGGAGGACGUCGUCGCCGCCGCUAACUCCGGCGCCACGUAGCUCACGAGGCCCGCCGCCGUCGCCGUGCUCCCAGGGUCAAGCCAGAGGUGGAGGUUGGCGUCGACGUACCACACGUCCACGGCGUUGGUCACCGCGAACGCGAACACGUGCGCCUUGCCGUCCAGCAUCUUGCCCAGCAACGGCGUCACCUCGACGUCGUACGUCGGGAGGUUGAAGGAGCCGAUGCCGGUGAUGGGCUGCCAUAGGAGGGGGUUGAUGCCGCCGGUGAAGAUGACGGGGAACGGCCACGCGGCGCCGGCGAGGACCCCGUCAACACGGACAGUGACCUCGCGGAACGGGCCGUUGGCGUCGGCACCGGGCUGGUUUGUCCACCAGAACUCGUCGUCCCCGUGGAACGACACAAAGACCUCCACGACCGCGCGGUACGUGUUGGAUGGCAACGUCACGCUCGUGGACACUGCGUCGGUGGCGUUCUGGAUCUUGUACCAGAGCCCGUCGUUCAGAGGCAAGCCUCUGGACAUCGGGACGAUGAGGUCGGCGGGAGCCACGGCGGGUGGCGGCCUCGUCGGCGUGCGGCGGAAGUAGAGGUGGAGCGUCACGUUGGCAUAGUACACGCCGGUGUACUGGCUGUUGACGAGGUUCUCGACGAAGACGGCGAGGGUGGAGUUGCCGGCGGCGAGGAGGGACGCGUACCUUGUGAUGUCCUUGGAGACGGACCACACGACGCCGUUCUGCAGCGGCUCGGCGGUGCUGCCGCGGAGGAGCUCGGCGCCGCCGAGCCAGACGCCGAAGAUCCUGUCGAACUGGACUCCCCGGCAGGUGGCGUGCCACUCGAGGACGGCGAGGGAGAUCGCCGUGGCGCGGCCGCCCGCCGCGGUGAGGCAGGGCGGCGGGGAGUACGCGGCGGUGGCGGGCGGCUUGGUGAAGGUGAACGCGAAGGAGCUGGAGAGCAGGAGCGUGGAGCACGGGCCGGAGCUGCCCGGUGGCGGGCGGAGCGGGCGGUCCACCUCGAAGAAGGUGGUCGGCCGCGACGCGUCUGCCGGAGACGGUGCGGCCGCGUCGAGCGCGGCGAUGUCGACCGGGGAUUUGCGUAGAUUACGAUGAGGUGAGGCGACGGUGGCUGGGACCAGACAAAGGAGAAAGACAAGGUGAAUGCAGGGCGCGGCCAUAGUUGAGACUUGAGACCACAGUGGAGGCAAUGCUCCCUGAGUCCUGACUGCGUGUAGCCGUGUAGCUUGGCUUAAAACUUUGCGGGAAGAUUGAUGAAGCCAAGCGUCCUUUAUUGCAUGAAAAGGACGGACCAUCAGGCCAACGUCAACCUGGAGGAUGCGUCCAUUCAUGGACGACCUGGAAAGUCUUUCAAAAUUCAAAGUCUUCCAUGGAUUCAAAUUCAAACUAAGGGGUCCUACUAAAUUUUAAGCACCUGUCACAUCGAAUAUUUGGAUACUAAUUAGGAAUAUUAAAUAUAGUCUAAUUAUAAAACUAAUUGUACAGAUGGAGUCUAAUUCGCGAGACGAAUGCUGUUGCAACGACGCAGGGACGCGCGUUUGUGUUCAUCGAGUCAUUGGACUAGGGCUCGAUUUUUUUAUUGAUAGUCACUUAAUAGAUUCGUCUCGCGAAUUAGACUCCAUCUGUGCAAUUAUUUUUAUAAUUAGCUCAUGUUUAAUCCUCUUAAUUAGCAUCUGAACAUCCGAUAUGACUCUGCUAAAGUUUAGCACCUCGUAUCCAAACACCCCCUAAAACCGUGAAAUCGGUGGCCAUACGGACACCGGCUCAAGCGGCGUCUCCCGGUCUAGUGACUAUCAAUAAAAAAAUCGAGCCCUAGUCCAAUGACUCGAUGAACACAAACGCGCGUCCCUGCGUCGUUGCAACAGCAUUUUAUUUAUUUAUUUAUUUAUUUUUUGAGAAAGCAAGUCUUUCAUCUUCAAGGACAAGCAUAGUUUGCAGCAACCAAACCAAGAUCCUACAUGGAUGAAAGAAUUCAGGAGGAUCAAGAACAGCUAAAAGGAGCUAGUGCGAUGGCACACCUACUAGAGGCAGUUGCUUGGCAAUUGGCAUGCUAGCUGCAAGCCUGCAAGAAGCUGUGGGCCUGUGGCACAUACGAGACCUUGUCCCCGUAUGCAACAAGAACGUUGUUCUCAUCGCAGGGCGUCAAGUCCUAGGUGAACCAGUAUAGACCUCUUAGGUUUUCUACGCCUUCCAAUCAGUAGAUUUGGCCAUAAGUGUCUAGUAUACGUGCUCUUCCAAUGAGUAGUACACAGUUUGAUCGGAGCAAAUGGUACAGUUGUUUUAUGCUUUGGCUUGAUCUGCCCGUUAUACUAGUCAUAUCUUGUCGCACUUCAUUUUCGCGCAGCCAUGCACCGCUACUGAAACAUUCAGAGCUGCGGAUGAGCUCGGCCAUGUCGCAUGUCGGCUCCAGCUGCCGCUCAGCCGCUGGUCCCGCCGCCAUGACGGGGCAGGAGCAUGGUGCUGCUUGUUCGCCUGAGAUAGUACAGGUCGGGAGCAUGCCCGGUUGCCAUUCAGGAUCAGGAAAUAGUUUGCCUAAACUUGAAUCUGAGCUGCAAAUUGACACCUUCGUUCGCAACAAAACAAAUAGGUUCCGGUCCUCCAAUAAAUAUUUUUCAAUAAUUAGUUAAUAAGGAUAUCCCAAUAUUACUUUCAUCGUUAUUGGGAGGGUUGCUUUUGCAGUCUCCCAAUAAUCUCAUCCUAAUAAAACUAUCAUAUUGUGAGAGUCAAGUUGGGUGAAUUAUUAGGUUGUCCCAAUAAUUAUUGGGAAAUGGAAAAGGUAAAGGAAGACUACCGGAGCACUAUGUUUUAUCAUAUCUUCUAAUAUGGUAGUUGGAUUGAGAAAAAUGAGACUAAGUGAGAGGCUCUUAUUCCAGGAUACAUCUUACGGUAAUUUUCUUUCUUCCACCACUUUGCAAAAGUAAACUAACACACACAUGCAGGGAUCUUUCUUACUUCGCUCCUUCAGCUCAAGCGCAGCAAAGGAAAAAACAAGCACAAGAAGUCAACCAUCUCCGAACAAUCAGCUUCAGUCUUACGAGCUCAGCCGCGCCGCUCCUGCACCCGCCGCCAGCUCCGCAACGCCGCCGCCGGGCGAUCCCUUGACGCAGGCCUCGUCGAAGUGGUCGGACACCACGGUGUAGCCGAGGCUGGUCACGUUGCGGAAGUAGCACGCGUCGGAGGCCUCGUACCUGUACGUCUGGCGCGCUCCCCACGACACCCCGACGGCGUCCCCUUCCUCGACGUCCACGUCCAUCUCGCAGUCCUGCGCGUUGCGCAGCGACCGGGACCAGAACCCCGACCUGCCAGCGGCGACCCGGUCCUCGCCGAGCCCCAGCCGCACGCUCCUCGCGAUGGUGUACGAGCUGUUGGAGGUCUGGUUCACCACGCCCACGAACAUGCCGAGCGCGAAGCUCUGCUGCGCCUCCUGCGAGUAGAGCACGCCGGCGGGGUCGGCGACGUGGGCGCCGGAGUAGGCGUCGGUGGUCUGGUUCACCGCCUGCAGGCUGCCGUCCUGGAUCCUGUUCGUGUUCUCGUACCCCAGCCUCUGCGUCCACGCCGCCGUGAUCCUGCCGUACGACGCCGUCUGCACCCACCCCGAGGCCGACACGUGCCGGAACGCCGUCGUGUAGUAGAACUCGUUGCGGGGGCCCUCAGGCCGGAACGCGAUCGUCGUGUCCAGCGGCGGCGCGUCGUAGCUGACGACGCCCGCCGUCGUCGCCGCGCACCUGGGGUCCAGCCAGAGGUGGAGGUUGGCGUCGACGAACCACACGUCCUGGGCGUUGGUCACCUGGAACGCGAUCUCGUGCUCCUCGCCGCCCAACAGCUUGCCAAGGAAAGCCGUGAGCUCGAUGUCGUACGACGGGAGGCUGAACGAGCCGAUGCCGGUGAUCGGCCGCCAGAUGAGAGGGUUGAUGCCGCCGGUGUAGACCACCGGGAACGGCCACACGGCGCCCACAAUGUCGCCGUCGAUCAGAACGUUGACCUCGCGGAACGGGCCAUUGUCCCUGGGUGUGUUCGUGUACCAAAACUCGUCGUCGGAGUGGUACGAGAGGUACACCUCGAGAACCGCACGGAACGUGUUGGUCGCACGACGACGCUCGCUGAUCCGACGUCGAAGCCGUUGUUGAUCUGGAACCACAGCCCGUCGUUCAGCGGCAGGCUUUGCGAGAUCGGCACGAUGACGUCGGCGGGCCCCAACCCGGGCUGCGGCGGCGCUGGCGGCGGGUGGCGGAAGUAGAGGUGGAGUGUGACUUCGGCGUGGUAGACGCCUGUGUACUGUUGGUCGACGAUGUUGCCGAGGUAGACGGCGAGAGUGGAGUUGCGGGCGGUGAGGAGCGACGCGUACUUGGUCACGUCCUUGGAGACGGUCCACUCGACGCCGCUCUGCCGCGGCUCGGCGGUGCAGCCGCGGAGGAGCUCGGCGCCGCCGAGCCAGACGCCGAAGAUGCGGUCGAAUUGGACGCCCCGGCACGUGGCACGCCACUCGAGAACGGCGAGCGAGAUCGCCGACGCGCGGCUGCCCGCGGCCGCCAGGCAUGGCGGCGGCGUGUAGGCGGCCGUGGCGGGGGGCUUGUUGUAGGUGUAGGCGAAGGAGUGGGAGAGGAGCAGAGUGGAGCACGGGCCGAAGCUGCCCGGCGGCGGCCGGUGCGGCCGGUCCACUUCGAAGAAGGUGGUCGGCUGAUCCUGCGGCGGCGGCGCGACCGCUUCGAGCGCCGCGACCUCGGAGGCGGAGAGACGGAGCUUGUGAUGAGGCGAAGCAAUGGAAGCCGGGACUAGGCACACGACGAUGACGAGGUGGAAGAGCACGCAAGAGCUGGCCAUGGCUGAUCCCCGAGACUCCGAGAGUGGAGGGAGUCAGGGAGAGAGGGCUUGUGCUUUGGCGCGCUUCUUGGAGUGGACGGAAUUUAAAAGGGCAGUGAAGACUGAAGAGUAGAAGUGAAGUAGAGCGCACUCCUGUUGCAGGGACCAUGUGAGAUGCUCUUAUUCCCUUAAGGAGUGACGGUAAAUUGGAAUGCAAGUCACAUAGCGACACUUGGGCUCAUCAACUGAGCUAAUGGGGCCUAAUGAUGUAGUUAAAUGUUUAAUCAGGUUUGGAUUGCAAGUUUAACUUGGUAGAUUCAUAGAAUGGGGCUCUAAGGUUCACUAACACAGACAGCUGGUGCAGGAAAUUAUGGUUAGUUUGCUAGUCACAUUUACAUGAAGCCGAACAUAGUCUUACGUUUUCAUGAAAUUUGAAGAUCAGAAGCAAAAGCAUCCAAAAUGGCAAGCUUGCUAUUUUUUCUCAGAAUACGCCUAAAAAAAUCAAAAAAAAAUUCUCAGAAUUUUUUCAUAGAAAUAAUAAAGAAACGAGCAGGACCUCAUGAACCUCUGCCUCGAUCUUUUGCAGGACAUGCUAAGAAACAGUGGUCAUUGUGGAGCCAGAAGGUCCUACCUGUCCAAUUCUGAAUGGCUGAAAUGUACUAGGUCCUACAGUGGUAUUAGAUGAAGUAGGAUAUUUGUUGCUGUCCUCAGUGGCCCUGGUAUCUGAAGUGGUGGCUGACUGGGUGGGCAACUUCGCGUUGCUUUGCUUUGGGGGCUGGCGGUUCUGAAUGAUUCCCUUACCUCUGAUUGGGAUGGUGCGCCUGUAAUAAGCAACAGUUCAGUGCCCACACUGGAUCUGUUCGCUUCAGCUUAUAAGCCGGCUGAAAAGCUGAAACGGCUGAUUUUUUGUGAGAGGAAAAUACUGUUUGGUGGCUGAUAAGCCGGUUGAAUAAGCUGAAGCGAACAGGCCAACUAUACCUGCAUACUAUCUGCCUGGGCAAGUGGGCAUCCUGCUUGAGCACCUGCUAGCGCUAGCAGUGGCGUCCUGGCUGCUAUGUCUCUGCAAUGACAAGUUGCCAACGACGGCGCCGUCGAUCAUGCCUGCUUCGGCCUUAGGAGGAACGAAGAAGUGGCGCAGCCGACGACGGGGUUGGGCGUAUUGGGCUGUUUUUAUUCGGGCCUUCACAUGCGUCCAGCUGCUGUCGUUUCGCUAUUCAGCGCUGGGCUGGGUCGUGAUUCUCCGCCUGCGGGUGGUGGUUUUUUACUGGCUGGAUUGGAACCUGAAGGCCCAAACCCGGCCUAACGCACAGCCGCCACCACCAGGCAGAUCAAAGUCUGGCUGGAGUACCCAGAAUGUGAGUUGCCACGGUUCACCGUCUUUUUGGUGUGUAUCUCCGUAAUCCUGCCGUAGAAGUUCUACGGUAGAACUGAUUUUUUUACGUGCAGUGACAUAGAAUUUUAUUACUACUGGGCAUCAUCCUGUGGCAGCCGUUUUACCAGACUCUCGCGAACACACGCAAUGACGCAAGCACGUAACCGCUCGUGCGGCCCCACGUUUGGAUCUACGCAAAUGAAGAAGCCGCGCGCAGCCAACGGCAAAGGCGCGGCGAACUGGUGAUCUCGUUGGACGGCGCUGGGUGCCUGGAUCGAUCGGGGUCGGGGCAUCGGCAUCGCAUGUGUCCGUCGUCUUCAGCCGGGCCUGCUGCACCAACCAUGUUCAGUCCCUUCCUGUUGGUCUCAUUCACCCAGCGCUGCAGCAGCCGUGCUGUACUGAACUGGCACCGUCCCAUGACCAGAUCCACCAUCUUUUCACUCGAGCGUGCAAAAAAGCGCAGGGAGCCUGGGAUCUCCCUUUUUUGACUGCUGACUGUGACUACCAUCAACCGUGCAUCUUGCAGCCCUAGGCCCUGGCGUGCCCGUGCUAAAGAUUCAGUCAGACUGUCAGAGCGUCCCCGUGCCUGUCUUCUGUUCUGCUUGCGGGGCAAACAGUGUGGCUUCUGUGCUUGGAUCGAUCGGGCCUGCGGAUCCAGCUGAAUGCUGCGGCUCAGCGGCUCUAUGAAAGAAACGCAGUCAGUGGAGUGUAGUUGAGCAGCUCUGCUGUAGGCAAUGCGCCCAUGUGGCAGUAUUAGCCAGCUAAUCUAAUGGUACGCAAUCACGCAGCCGCGAUCCGUCGCGAUUCGUGAGCAGUGUCCCCCGGCCCACCUCGCGAGCAGGAUCAGCUCCGGCGACGGCGAGUUGGACGAUCCCUUUCAGCGCGUGACCAUUCUACUCGGUAGCGUCCUGCUCCGUAAUUGCACAAGGACGUUACUGACGUGGCCGUGUCACCUCAUCGGGAAAACUCAUCAGAUUUCUCAACACCAAUGAUCUGGUGGCACGGCCACCAUCCCGUCUGGCGGUCUGGGCAUCUGGCACUCCGGCGAUGGCCGGGCCUCUGCGCCGUGUCGCCGUCGCAGCUCCAGACGGGGGCCAUUUGUCCUCUGCACUGCACCCAGAAUAUCAGGCCUGAUCUCAUCAUGCGUCUGUAGAGAGAGGUGUUGAGCAGGCAGCCAGGCACUGAAUGCUGAAACAGUGGCGUCGGGAACAGCGAUGCGCGGCCAGCGCAGCGUCUGUACCGAACCAAACCAACCCCCCUCGCCGUUGCGUUGAUUUCGGGCACCGGCUCGUUCUGACGGCGGGGAGCUCCUUUUCUCCCUGCUUCUCCUCCUCCUCACAAACCGGCAAGGAGCCAGAGGAGCCACGAAUCGGCUCCGGCUCGUUUCGUCAGGCGUGUGUGGGCUGUCCGGCUGGUCAACUCCGGCUGCCAGCGGCGGGGAGGAGGGACCGGGAUUAAAUUAGCGGCAGUGCAUCACACGCUAAACUAGGAGUAAACUAAAGGCGGCGAGCAAGACGAGCAGACGGACAGGCAGGGAGAUUCCGCGGCGGCCAGCCAGCGAGGGGAUCGUACGGGCGGGGAGCUGAGACAGAUGGCGUCGGGGGGCAGUGGACCGGGACCAGAGGGGUGUGGGGGAAAGCGCCCAUAAUUUCCAAGGACGGCGGCCACUUUUCGCAUGGCCCGCCGCCCCUAGUCCUCCUGGUCCCGGCGCCCGGCGGAGCUGCUGGCUGCUGGACCAUGCGUGGCAUGCUCGGCGUACCCGUACAGUACGUGCGGAGCCUCAUCUGCGCUGCCGAUACCCAGUGAUUUCUUUUUGUGGUGGUGGGAACGUGGUGGAUCAGAUCAAGAUGAGUUUCAGGACUUGCUCCAAGGGUCAUGAGAAGUGGCAAUUUUUCUCGUGGUCAUGAAAAAGAUGCAGUACAACUCGCACAAGUCGUGGAUUGUUACAGUACCUGCUAGUUGUCCUAGAGAAAGUUCAGAACGAAGAUGUCCAAAAUCAAAUGCUUAUGGACAUGAGAAAGAUGUGGUGAAACUGCUACUCAAUGUGUUAAAAAAAUACUGGUGAAGUAAUGGCCAGUCUUACUGGUGCUUAGACCAGGUUUGGUGGAUGGUAGUAACGACUGACAACACUCGACGGUAAACCGUUUUAUUGGCAGUGGACCAUGUAAAACAGCGUUUGUGUAAACACGAAGCAAACCUGUACAGCUUCCCUCUACCAGUCUACCCUACACACAAGCUGAGAUCAUUUCGCUCGACAGAUCUCUGGUUGGCUGCCUCGUCCAGUCGUCCUGAAAAGCACCACAGUCCCUGUAGGCACAUAGCUAUGGACCAGCACCUCUCUGAAUCCAUGGAUUGCACCCAACAAAUAGGAUUAAACAGAACCAGCAAAAAAUUAUUUAAAAAAAUGCAGGCCAGAGACGAGACCGAACAGAUCCAGUCUAUACCACGCAUUUGUUACCGUGUGUCCCACACGCAAGAAAAGAAAUGCGGCACACCUACCCCGCCACAGUACGGCAGCAGCUACUCCUUCCUAGUACUGAGCCCAGCUGAAUCCGGCGAUGCCUCCCCAUCACUGAAUCCGAGUGACAUCACCGGAUAUGAUUCGGCUUUACCCCGCGCUGCCCCACCGGAAAAUGAUGCCGCGAGAAAAGUUUUACUCAUGAUCACGCUGCCUGCCCUGCCACGGGUCUUUCUUUUACUAUCUUUUUUUUUUGUUUGAACUGGGACAGACAAGCAGGACGGGUCGUUUAUUAUGGAGGCAAGCGAUGGCGCCACAGCAACAGGGAACCGUGCAGGAGCAUUCAAAUCGGAUGGAGCAUAGCUCCAGGCCUCCAGCUCGGCGCGCUGGCUGGCUGCGUGUGCCAACAACCGGAACUGAAUUCGCUGUCCUGAAUUCAGUUGGAAGCAGAGCAGAUAUGGUCCCGUUCCGUUCCAGUAAUUCUCCCAAGCUUCCCCACCACCGUGUCAGCUUCCUUUAUCCAGGAAAAAUCUUGCAUGACGGAAAGGAAUCCACAUCCGGUGAAAUGAAAUUCGCAGUGACAUUGGAGCAAAUCGUGUGCUUUUCAGUGUAGCAGAUCUCCAACUUCUGAAUUCUGAUCCCGUUGUGGGUAUGAAGGAAAGAGUUUAGAUUCGCAGUUGACUUGUAUACAUUUGCAGAGCCCGAGUUUAGUUAGAAGCAUCUUGAUCUCAAAAGCAUAAUAGUGCAGGGAAUGGUUUGUGUGCGGUGAAGAUAUACGAGGCGAGGAGGUGUGUUGCCAACUUGCCUGUUGAACUAGACAGGAUCAUGGAAGCUCCACUGCCACCUACUCUACCACCAUCAUUACUAUACUGUACUUCAAGUACGAAAGUGCUCACAUAAACACCUGACCUGAUAAUUAGGCCUAGCCUAGGAAUCCAAACCUCCCAAAGGGACAUCUUCUCAAAAGAAAAAUCAGCAGUAACAGGGUACCUGCAAUGAUUCAACAAGUUCUCUAACACAAUCAUAAUCCUCUUUUUUUUUCCUCCUCACAAUUUCAAAAUCAAUUCUUCUUUUUCCGUAACAGUUUAAAAUCAACACAUAUGUUCAAGUUCAGUGCUCCUGUAUGCAUCAGCUCAAGUGAGCCUUUGUCCAGUUGUCCCCAAUCUCAGGGGGUGUUUGGAGCUAAACUUUAGCCGUAUCACAUCAGAUGUUCGGAUGCUAAUUAGAAGAACUAAACAUGAGCUAAUUAUAAAAUUAAUUGCAGAACCCAUAGGCUAAUUCGCAAGUUAACUCAUCAUUAGCAAAUAGUUACCGUAGCACCACAUUGUCACAUCAUGGACUAAUUAGGCUUAAUAGAUUCGUCUCGUGAAUUAGACUCCAUCUGUACAAUUAGUUUUAUAAUUAACCUAUGUUUAAUACUCAUAAUUGGUAUCAAUAUCCGAUGUGACAGGUGCUAAACUUUAGCACGAUUUUUUGCUCAGGACACUGCAGCUGACAUGACCAGAAAAACACUGUCGCCGCCCACACAAAUCGCACUCCCCAAGAUCCCUCCCGCGAGUCCAAAGUCCACGGUGACUUCCGGCACGGGGAAUAAAACAACAACACGGACGACCAGCAAAAACCGCGGCCCGACCUGGCGACCCCUGGCUGGAACAGCAAGCAAGCAAAGCCAAGCAACCCGGCACAAACACACGCACGCACCCACCUGCGGCGCUGGACCCGAGCACACACCCAUCCAGCCGCCCGCUCCUCCUACCCCCGCACCCUCGUGCCGUGCCGCCGCGCUGCCUUUCCUCCCCGCGUCCCUUUCGUCCCGCACCUUGUCGGAGACCGACGCGCCCCCCCUCCGCUCCCUCCCCUCCUCCCCUUCGCCCUCCACGGGUCGGCGUCGCCUCCACCUCCACCACUACUCGUGUGCGCCUCACCCCCGCCCAGUCCGCCUCACCUCACUCCGGCCCCCAGCAGCGCGCCCUGCUCUUCCUUGCGGAGGCGGCAACCGGGCAGGCGCCCAGAGCGACCCGGCGCACCUGCUCCCACUCCCGCCGCGCCACCAGAAAAGUAGCCGUUGCGGCGUCGCGUCGGCGGGCGUCUAUACCGCGCGCCGGGGCUGCAUGAGGAGGGCUCCCGCCGCGGCCGCGCGGACCCGGUGAGCUGAGCAGGAGGAGGCGAUGCCGCUGGUCAGGUUCGAGGUGCGGAAUGAGGUGGGGCUCGGGGACCCCGACCUCUACGGCGGCGGCGGCGGAGGAGGAGGCGGGGUAGGAGGAGCUGCCGUCGGGACCGGAGCGGCGGGGAAGAGGGGAGCGGCCGCCGCCGGGGAGGAGGAGCCCAAGGCGCUGCUCGAGGGCGUCGCCGUCGCGGGGCUCGUCGGGAUCCUGCGCCAGCUCGGAGAUCUCGCGGAGUAAGGCCCCUCCCUCUCCCUCGCUGCCUCUCGCUACCCGCUUCAUGUGUGCUUCGGCUCCGCGGCUGUGCGCCUCUUUGUGGUUCCUGGCUGGGAUCUGCCGCGCUACGAGUUUGGCGGCUUCCGGCGAGGACUUUGGCGCUGGUUGGGGAGUUUGGUUACAGCCUGUGAGUGCAGUGAUAUGAAGUAGUGGGAUCUGGUGUUGAGGUGGUUGGAUUCGCUUAGGGCAAAAGAGCCGAGUGCUGCGCUAGAGGAAUAGGAAUUGUUAGAGAGCAGUGUUUCUGUGUGCAGGCCUUUGAAAAUUGUGGCUCUACCUGGACGGAAUUGAAUGUCCCUUUUUUAGCACCGGUGACAUUUGGAGGUUCUGUUUUAUGAGAUCCAGUUACUUGGGACUGAAUCAGAUGGUGCUAAAUUUCACGUUUCCGGUCCAACGUUUGACGUAACUGCUGUGCCUGCUAGUAUCAUUUAUGUUAUUUUUGGCCACAUUCGCUUGCUUUAGGAGGCAUGCUUUGCUGAAUUGGUGGGAAUUGAUUGUGUGCUUUGGGUAUGGCAUCGAGGUUUUAGGAAAGAUCUCGUGCUACCUUUGAGAGUUUGUGUUGCGGAAGUUAUGAUGUAACGGGCGAUUCUGAAAGGUUCUGGUUUAGGUUGUGUAGUGGUUGACUGGGCGCAUUUCGGAUGGCUUGGUGUUGUUAAAUGCUUGUCUCAAGGGGUCUUUGCAAAUUUUGGUUGGACAAUCUCCGUUGCUGCUAUCAAUUUCCGUUUCUUGCUAAUAAAAAUUGUUGCCACUCUGAGGAACUUGUUUUCAUCUAUUAAUGCUUCUAUGGUUUUAUUUUACCUUUUCUCUUGUAUAAAUGGUCUCCAAGUUGUACUUAGGUUAGGUACCAUGGUUCUUGAUAUACUACUAUAUGUAUCAUAACAGUAUUUGGAAAAAGCAAUGUGCUAGCUUUCGGUUGGCUUCAAUGGGUGCUGUUUAAGUUCUCUAUUUACCAUGCCUAUGCUUAUAGAUACUUUGUUCAUACCAGAUUUGCAGCUGAUGUUUUCCAUGACCUACACGAGCAAGUUAUCGCUACAUCUGCUAGGGGGCGUAAGGUGCUAACUCGAGUACAGAACAUUGAAGCAGCACUUCCAUCUCUUGAAAAAGCUGUGAAGAAUCAGAAGAGCCACAUACAUUUUGCCUAUGUACCGGGUCAGUAUCCAUCCACUUCGUCAAUGUCUAAAAAUACCCUGAUCAAGAGAAUCCAUCCUGUUAAUGAAAUAUCUAUCAUAUGUGCCCAAUUCUUUGAUAUAGGAUUAUCGUGCAGUUUUACUGAAUUGAUUGAUAAAACACAGGCUCUGAUUGGCACACUCAGCUUCAAAAUGAGCAAAAUCACCUGCUAUCCAGUGACCUGCCUCGUUUUAUGAUGGACUCCUAUGAAGAAUGCCGAGAUCCACCACGUCUUUACCUUCUUGAUAAGUAAGUACUAAAACUUUCCUUCAUAAUCUUUUUUUUUGUAUCUAAAAUUAUUGCCCUCCAGAUUCGAUAAUGCUGGUGCUGGGGCCUGUUUAAAGAGAUACUCUGAUCCGUCCUAUUUCAAGAAAGCAUGGGAUAUGAUGAGAGCAGACAAGACUACUAAUCACCAAAGAGAAAAGAGAUCUCAGAAAAUCAAGGUCUACUCUUCAUUCUCAGUAUCUGAAGUUGAUAUUUGUGCUUAGUUAGCUCUCUUGAAAUUCAGCACAUGUUACACAUAAGAACAUGAACAACCAACCGGCCAACCAAUCUACGUGUGAUGUUGAACCACUAAGCGAACAGAUUUAUAAAUUAAUGGGCACAAUCAUUUUGUACUUCACAUCCACUUCAGUUCAAAAUCAGAAUAUUGUUCUUGGGAAAUAUAAUGAUACAUGAAAGCAUCUUUCACUUUUCAGUUUUGAGAUACCGUAUGGGAUGGUAUCAUCAUCCCUUUUAUCCUUCUAGGCUAUUUUCUCAUGUAAGAAUGAAGUAGCUACUCCUUAAAAAAGGCUGACAAGAAUUGGAUUUGUCGUUGUGCUUGAAUAUCUUUAGAAGCAUAACUUCAUAAAGGGUUAACCUAUGAGGAUAUCUUGAUAACUGAUAAAUGCAUCGCUGAGUCACUUUGCUUCAUUGCUUCUGUUACCAAAGGAGCUCCUUUCCUGCUUCAUAUUUGCUUUCAUAAAUGGUUAAUCUACGAAACGAUAAAUGGUAACUUCUGAAUGUAUUACUGGGCCACAAUGCUUUGUUGCUUCUGUUACUGAAUAGUUGUGGCUCCCUGAUGUUUUGUGCUAGUUUGGCAGAUGUAAUCUUUUGUCAUGUUGGGGACUUGCUUAAAGACUUAAUAGAGCUUAUGAACUUGUACAGAGAAAAGGAUCGCGACUAAGGGAGCCAUAUCAUGGACAAGCCACAUCCAGGCAUAGGAGUGGUGAAUUGCAGCGAUCACUUACUGCUGGCCAACCUGUUAACAGGUGUUACAUAUUCCAUCCUUUAAGAUGCAAUAAUUGUGUAUCCGUCUUCAUCUUCCAUGGCUAUUCCUUUUAUAUUUGAAGGACACACCUAGAACAGCAGUAUUAAUAGCGUGUUUUCCUGCAGGCCGUUUGCAUCUCCCAGCACCGAUGGUCAGAGUUUCUCAGAGCAUAGAUCUACACCUGAUGCAAGAUGUAAUCCUGAGAAUAUAAGCAGAUCUUCUUCUUUUAGUUCAAAGACACGGCUGAGUUCAGUAGACCAAGCUUUAGAUACAAAACCUUCCACUGUUCCUCAUGAAAAUGGUCAUGGAAAGUCAUCAAAUACUAAGCUGCACAAGCCCAGCGACUUGCCUUUGCGCAUACAACAUAGCAGUACCAGUGUGGAUGAUGCAGGUGAUGAUUUGAAGCAAGGUUCCCUGCCAGAUGAUGUGGUUGCUAGAUCGCCUUAUGUUAAAUGGGAUGAAAAGGCUGCAAUUAUCAUGUCUACUAGUUCUGUCUACUGUGAUGAUGUUGUUAUGGAUAAGGCUGAAGAUGCAGAGCCUACUUGCAUUAGCUCUGCGCAGAAAGAAAUUGACCAUAAGGGGAUGGAUACUUUGGAGCAGCAAGAUGCCUUACUUAAAAAGACAAAAUCACCAUUGGUCUUGAACCACCAUGAUGAAAUUCCAGGUGAAACAGACAACUACAUGGAUGCACUUAACACACUGGAGUCUGAGACAGAAACUGAAGCUGAAUCUCAAACUAAAAAUCAAGUGAUGCCAUUACCUUCCUUUAAUGCUGAAGCACCUCAAGUGGGGGCAACUGAUGACAUUGUUUCACAGCAUCCUGAUUCCUCUGUUGCCGAUUUUACUGACACAUGUCAAGAUUCUAAUAUUUCUUGCACUUCUGAAAGAGCAGUUGAUUUCCCCCACUUGUCAAAUGCAGAUUCUCCUGAGAUUUCGCAGCUAGAGUUUUCAGAAUAUACAUCUGUAACUACGUAUAAAGAGUCAUCUGUUGUCACUAAAAUCCAUGAGAGUAGCAUGGAGGGUGCUUGUGGAGAUCCUUAUGAAAUUUCAGAGCCGGAACUGCAAGUCCAUACAGCCAUACCUCCCAAUGGAAGAUCCCCUGUUCACAAUCAAAUACCUGAGAGUAAGGCAGAAGAUGGUCUUGGAGACACUCCUGAGAUUCCAGAACCAGAGGUCACCUAUAUGGUUAUUCCGUCCAAUGAAGAGUCUGCUGUUGCCAACCAAAACCUUGAAAGCAACGUAGAAAAUACUGGUGAUUUUACUGAUGAUGCCACUGAUGAUGUUGUAUCCGGACCUACCAUUUCCAACGUGGUGAUUGAUGAGGAAGCUUUCGAGAUGGCACCUGCUGCUAAAAGCUCACCUGGUGAUAUUGCCAAUGAAUCAUGGGUUGUUUCUGAAAGUAGGUCUCAGGAUUAUCCCGGAGAGAAGCAUGAGGAACUAGGUGAUUGUGGUGUGUCUGAAGUGUCUCAGUCAUGGAGUGAGCCUCGUAAUGAACCAUCAGAGAAUAGGUCUGCAACUCAAGAUGUUCCUACAAAUACCUCUACUACAUCUACUGGUGCAAGUGAAGUGUCUAAUUCACAGGGUGAGCCUCUUAAGGAACCAUUGGAGAACAGAUUUGCAACCCAAGGUAUUCCUACAAAUACAUCUACUGCAUCUACUGUAGUACCGUCUGUUAAACUCUGGACAAAUGCCGGGCUCUUUGGACUUGAACCAUCUAAACCUCCAGUAUUUGGUGCCCAAGAUACUCCAAGGGAGGAUACUCCACCUGGUUUUGAAGUACCUCAACCAAGCCAUUCAACUGAAUUCACAGAACUACAUUGUUCAAAGCCUAUUGAAUCAGCAGUUGUAGAUGUUCCGAAUGGAAACACAUCAAUUACCAGCAGCUUCGUGGGAAAGCUUGUUGGCAUCCGUCCUGGUUCUACAAACCUCAACGGCACAGGGGCAAAUCAAUCAGCGGCCAGAAUACCUGACCAAGUUCAUAGUCGAACUGAUGGGCCCUCAGAUUUUUCCUCCUCAUCCUUCGAGCAUAAUAAUAUGAUUGGCAAGCAGACUUCAAUAAGUGAGCUUCUAGAAUCUGAAGAAAGUGCUGAAAAUUGCACUGAAAUGUACUCAACCAACAUGAGAAAUGACAUGCAUAUGGUGUCUGCAUCAAGCUUUUCAAGUAUUGCACAAAGAUUUCUUGCUAAUACACUUCAGAGAAGAACUUCUCCCAAAUAUACCGAUCUUCCUAUGUCAUCUGAGAGACCAAAUGCUGAUGCAAGUGUGAAUGAUGAAUCUACCCUAAAUCCUAUUGCAGAACCAAGUGGAACAGUAUUCACGGAUGAAUCUCAGUUUGAGAACAGAUCAGAAAAUGGAAUGAAUGGAUUGUCCAAAUCAUCAAUCUUUUCCAGCCGUCAAUACUCUGAGAAAUCGUCUCCGCCACUUGAGUAUAUGAAAAUAUCUUUUCACCCCAUGAGUGCAUUUGAGAUGUCAAAACUGAACCUAGAUUUCUGUGAUGGCAAUCUUCAUGAGAACUCUGAUGAUAUGAUGUUACCAACAUUUCAGUUGCUGUCAGAGUCUUCCAUUCCACAGCCAGGCAGUGGUUCUGAGUCUGAAGAUGACACUUUUGGUAGGUCAUACAGUUAUUCUUCAUACGAUGAUCUAAGUCCACGUUUAUAUUCAAAUUCUGAGGUGUGGGAUCAAGAAGACGGAGUUGGACUGGAGGAACAUGAAUUGUAUGGCGAUUCUAAUCAGAUAGGAUCCUCGACAGUACCUUUAUCUAGCUACGCGGGAUUUGAGCAAAUGAACUUGUCUGGUGUGAAGUCAACUAUUUCACUUGCAGAUAUUGGGGAUCAGAAUGGACUAGGCACAUUAGAAUCCCAUUCUGUUGAAGAACUUCCAAACUUUGAUACAUUAAUGUCCAGAAACGACGAUCAAAACGAUGAAGCCUCCAUUCCACACAAUCCACUGAAUUUACCACCAGCUGAAGAUCAGUUGCCACCACCACCUCCUCUUCCCCCAAUGCAGUGGAGGAUGACGAGACAAACAACUCCACUAGAAGAGGAAAGAGGCAUUACAGCUAAAGAUAUGUUUAGGAAAUCUUCAUGCCUACCACAUGUGCACACCUCUGCCCAGGAAGAACAUCCUCUUCCAGCUGCACUACAGGAUCCACAAGGGCAUGCUAAGGAAGUGGUAUGGACCAUUUAUUUGAUUGACCCUGUUUGAAUACUUGCAUUGAUAACUGUUGUUAUAUCUUGUUGAUGAAACUGUAUACUUGGUAUAUGUAGGAUGUCCAGAAAACUGAUGGUGUAAAAGAAAUCAUUAAUCCUUCUAGUAUCAUUGAUAUCAAAUCAAGUUUGCUUCAGCAGAUCAGGGAUAAGGUUUGUUCUGCUCUUUUAGUUGAAAAAAAUCUGAUAUGUUAUUCUUUAUAGUCUUAUACUGCUGUUAAUAUACUGCUUACAUGAAAGGAAAUGUGGACCUUCUUUGGAUUCGAGAGACCUCACAUUUUUUUGGGUUUUUUAAUGGUAAAAUACAUUGACAUAACCGAUAGGUUAGUCCGAAAGGAAAAAAGGAAUGCGGACCAUGAAUCCAACUACCUGUGAUUCAUAAAAGCAAUCUGAUAUUCUGAUCCACAACACUGUUUGGCGUAUACUGACCAUGUCCUGUGCCCAUUUAUUUUGCCAACUAAAACAAGUACAAGGCCCAGUAUUGAUCAAUUGAUUCUUGAAAUUAGAAAGCUCAUUACCAAUUUUAUGGCUUCUGAUUGUGGCAUACACUUUCUGAUUCUUUUAUUCAUUUGCCUAUCCAACUAUCACAGUCAGAGCAGCUGAAGCCUAAUGGACAUGAAAGGUCAAAAACAGUAGGCAGUGACAUUAAAAGCUUGGACGAAAGGGAGGAGUUGCUUCAACAAAUCCGGAGCAAGGUAUCUUUGAAUAUGCAGACCAUUGUACUUGCAUAACAGCCUGUUGGACCCUGUGACUUGAGAUUUCUACAUUCUUGCCUGGCUGCCUGCAUGAUAAUGAGAGCCAGGAGCUCUCCUAUAAUGCUUAACCAACCCAUCAAUAUGUUUGUCUUGUGCAGACCUUCAAUUUAAGACGGACAAAUGCAUCUAAGACAGACACCUCAUCACAAUCAACAGCCAAUUCCAACGUUGUGGCAAUUUUGGAGAAGGCAAAUGCUAUUCGACAGGUUAGUAUUGUGCCAAUUCCCCUUUAUGUUAGUGUUUGGGCUGUUCUUUUGUUUCCUCCUGAUUAGUUCCAUGUUAUCAGGCUGUAGCCAGUGAUGAGGGAGGUGAUGAUGAUAACUGGAGUGAUAUAUGACACCUAACUGCAGAUGUGUAUGGUACUCCUUUUCUGUAUAUUCAGCUAUUACAAGAUGAAGUGAGAAAAAUGUGAAUAACAUCGUUUUCUUCAUUGUAAUUAGAUUUUGUAGGUCUGUUUCUGUACCUUUUUUUAGUUCAUAUUAGCGUAUUCUACCUUAGGUCUCUAUGGCUGUGGAAAUGUCAGAUCAUUUCUACAUGAUGUAAAUCUUUCUUUAUUAUUUAUUUACGAUAGUGAGAACAACUGAU